rnacentral:lncRNA from 1 species
CUGUCGUAUGUGUAGUUGGACUGCUGCGUGUCAAAGUUGUAUUACUAUGUGUUGACAUCGGGACUAGCUUCGUACCAUAGCUCUGCACUUUGAUUAUAAAGCCCGAGCCCUCUGUCACUUUCAUUCUAUGAGCUGCAACCAAAGAAAAGCAAGAUGGAUCCUGAGCUGGGAGAGGUCACAGAGGAGGAGGGGGACGCCAUAAAUGUGAGGGCUGCAGUAGUGGAGCACAGGAGGAGGAGGCGCAGGCGCAGGCAAAUGGCGCGACAUGCUGCCGAGGAGGAACUGGAGGCAGAGUUCAACAGACGCCUUGUGCACGAGGUGAUGGAUACUUGCAACUCCAAUGAAUUGGAUCUUCUUUUCCCAAAGGGCAGGGGAAGGAACCAUAUUCAGAUCAUUAGUUGGGCUAGGGCGAGAGCAGCCACGGCUCCACAUCCAUCCACCAGGGCCAAAUGGCGUCGUUUCUUUUAUCGUUAUGACUAAAGUAGUGAAUAUUAUGUUUUUAAGAUUUUUGUUGUGAUGGAGCAGAUUUUUGAAUGACUAAAUGAAAUCAACUGUUUUGUCUCUGAAUGUGUUGUUUUGUCUGCAUAUGUUUGACAUGUGCACUUUUGAACUGCUUGUUUAUCUGAAGUUGAACUGAUUUGCGGUCAAAUGUUGCAUGGCUUGUGUAAUAACUAUUUCCUACCAACUGGCUGCCCACCUGCCUAUUUAUUAUUUUUUUAAUCUAUGAGUCUCCCUGUCUAUAAACUCUAUCCAUCUAUGUGUGGUGUGUGGCCAAGUCUCCCCCUCCUUUUUCUUCCUUCUUCCAGAACCAGAUCUAUGUUCCUCCCUCUUCUCUUCAUUGCUUUUAUACCAGUUCCUGUGUGUUCCAUGGAGGAUUGUUCAUGCGAAUGCCUAGCAAAGAUGUCGCGCAUAGCUGACGGCUAUGUGUACGAAUCUGGUUUGGAGCUCACCCAGACCCAGCGACGUGGGCAACUUUCUUGUCUGUUAUACAACAACCAUGGGUUUCGUACACCCUAUGUUUGUCGCCUGACGGUUGGUGACUUGAAGGAAUCAUGGGUAUGUGUUUCUAUUCGUUUUUUUUUCUACUUUUUUGUUGGUCUCUGUUUGAAUCCCAUGGACUGAAUCUGCAGUUUAGUCUUAUGAAUAGUUUGUCUAUAUUUUUUUAUUUGGUUUUGUCAGAAUUUAACAGUAGGGAUUUCUGUGUGUAUUUGUUCAUUACUUAACGGUAUUUUAUCCAUUUUUGUAUAAUCCUUGAUCUAUUUUUUGUCAGAUGUUUUUACUGUAUGUGUAUUGAUAUGUAUAUUUCUUCAGUUUAGUCAGUUCACAUGUCUAGUUAGUUUUGUGUUAUUGUUUUGGUUCAGAUUUUUUCCAUUUUAGUUUGUUAUGCAAAUCGUUCCUAUAUCUGUAUAAAUCAGUUAUGUCAGGUGUUCAAUUUGUUUUGUACUCCCACGCCCAUUUGCAGAAAAUGUCACCUAGGAUCAGGAUUGUUGCUCCUAGUUCUGGUGUUCUGAAGAUGGAGACUUCAAACAAAAAUGGGUAUCAGUUGAUGGAUGUUGCCUACCACAUCGACUUUGAUGGUUGCAUCAACCUAACUACUAGGUGGAAGGAGUUUGUGGCAGAGUCUAUAUUUGAGGAUGGUGAUGUGGUUAUGGUUAUGUUCUCCAGAGAAGAUGACUCUUUGACGUUCAAAAUUUAUGUGUUGUAGGUUUAAAUGUGGCAAAUGACGCCGGUUGUGAGAUUUGUGUGUGGUUGAUUAUGUUGCAGUAUUUUUUCUUUUAAAACAUUUGCAUGUGACAUGGUUGAAUUGUAUGGUUUGGAACAAGUUAUGUAAUGCUUUUCCUAUUGUUUUGCUCAAGUAUAACUGUUUUAUUUAUAUAUUAUUUAUAUUAGUACUGGAACAAUUUCUAUAGUUGAACUGAUGGGUAUCCUUUGUUUUGACUGGUUUAUUUUUAUGUUCAUAACUUGCAGAUGGUGCUAUACGGUGAUGUUGUUUUUAGAAUUCCUUUUUGGGUAUUGAGUUUGCUGAACUUACAUUCUGUUAAUGAUAGUACUGAACUAUUUUUAGGUUGUCAAUUACCAAUCAAAUUUGUUUGUUGUAUAACAUUUUUCUUACUUUUUUACAUGAAUUGUGGAGCACAUUUUUUCUUUUUUAUAGUUGAAUAAUGAUAGUUUUAGUAUUUUUUAAAAUUUAAAAAAAAUCUUUGCUGCACAGUACUAUUUUUUUGUACUUGAACCUUAUGAAUUGUAGUAGUUGAACUUUUUAUAAAUUCGUUUAUGAAAUUUUUAUUUACAAUCUUCUAUGUUUAAUUUUUAUUUACAAUCUUCUAUGUUUAAUUUUCUUUCAUGUAGAUUGAUCAGGAUGAGGCUGCUGGCACCGACAGUAGGGCUGAUGAUGGUACUAAGGCUAAUGGUUCUGAUCACCAUCCGAAUGAUGUUGGCUUGCAGCACCCUGUUGUUGAUGUGAGUCAGUCCUCAUUGUUUGUAUGUUUUUACUAUGUUGUUCUGUUGACAGUAUUGUAGUUGAACUUCCUGAUCUACAUCUGUUUAUUAAUUUUUCUUUUCAUGCAGGAGACCAGUCAUAAUGUUGAGGCUGCUGUUGACCAUGGAGUUAAUGAUCCAUCUACUGAUAAGUGCAAGGUUAUUUUUAUUUUUAUUGUGUUUAUUCAUAUUUUCUUGAACUUUCAUGCGCACCAAUGUGUCUUGCUUGUUCAUUUUUCUAUCCCACACCGUUUAGAGUUUGCAAGUGGUACCUACCUUUUUUGUUACUGUUGUUUAAUUCCUUGUGUUUAUUGUUGCUAACAAUAGCAUUGUUUUUUGCCUCAUUACAUUUGAAUUAGGGUCCUCUUGUUGGCGAUGAGCCUUGUUUGCCCGUUGGUGAUGUUACUUUGAAUGUUAGUAGCAGCAAGAUCGAUGAUGUUGCUGUGAAUGCUUCUAAGGUUUGUUUUUCUGUGCACCUCUUGGUAACUUAUUUUUUGUUGUUAGUUUUGCUCAUAUUAUUCACUUUUUCUGAAUUUUUAUUUUCGUCAGAUUACUGAUGUUGAGCGUGAGGUUGUCCUUAGCAGUGGAGAUGAUGCUCGUGGUGUUCCAUCGAGUAGUGGGCGCAAUUUUGGUACCAAAGUUGCUGAUGAGGAUGCUUGUGCUGCCAGCAUACUUGAUGCUAAAUCGCCUGGUGUUGGUAUUGCUGGGAAUGAAAAAGUUUCUGAUUGUGAAGAUUUGCCACUGGAGAAUUUCCCGCCUGGAGGUCUUGGUUACGGUGAUGCAUAGCAAGAUGCUUCUAGCAUGGAGGAGGUGCCAUCCGAGGAUGAUGAUUUACUUCUGUCAAUUUCUUCUGGCCCCUUGACGCAGGAGGCGCUCUUGUCAUCCCAGGAUUUUCUUUCUACAGACCUUGAAAGCGCAGCAAUAUUGGUGUCCUCUCAAGAUGUCCCAUCGUCGAACCCUGAAACUGGAGGCAUAAUGGUCUCAUCAGAGGAACUAUCGUCGUCGUCAAACCCUGAUAGUCCAAGUAAGGACUUGUAAAUGAGGCGUACUUCUCAAUUUUGGCAUUUUGGACAUGUUCUCUUGUAGUGGUUGAACUUAUUAUUAUUCUUCUUUUUCUGCAAGCAGAAAGUGCUAAUGUUGUUAAGGUUGAUAAGUUUUUCUUCGCUGUUACGAGGUUGCGCACGAACUGUACGAAAUGGUUAAGUUUGGGAUUUUGCCCGUACCAUUUUUGUCUCUUUUUCUUUCUCUCGUUGUUGUUGCAGUAGUUUUAAUUCAUGUAAUCUUCUGUGUUUUUCUAGUCACAAGCCGAUGUUUCAAAAUAAAGAAUGUGAUGCCAGUGUUGGUUCUAUUGCUAAAGCGUUUGUCCCCACUGGCAUGCCCAACUCAGACAGUGCUGACGUUGUUUUAUAUUCUCUAAGUCAGAAGUACCGAGACACUGACAAGUUGAUAGUUCCCAGAUGGGUGGUCACUAUUUUGCUUUUUGUAAAUAGGAGGAUAACUUGUUUUGCCAAUUUUCUAACUAUUUGUUGUUCUUUUUGUACAACAGACCAAGAUCCAUGAUGGAAAUAUUGAUUCCAAUGCCCUGUUCAAGAAUUCAUCUGAUUAACCAGUUAACUUGCCGAUUAAUCCCUACUCGCAGGGUCACCGAGUAGCCUAUAAACCGAUAAAUCAUCCGAUUAAUUGAUUAAGUGGCCGAUUAACUUGACGAUUAGCCGAUUAAUCCCCUACUCACUAGCCAACCGAGCAGCUACCAGUUAACAAUUUCCUCAACAAUGUUCCAAUGUGCUAAAUUGGUUCACGAGAUCAGGUGCUGAUGGUUUUGACCAAGUAGGUGAACUUGGACUUUUUGUACUCACGAACUAGAACUGUCAUGUUUUCUUGCAGGUUUGGGAGGUGGGGGAAUGAACUUGAUUAGCCUGCUUUUACACCUGUACUUAUGAAUGAUGUGUGCUUCUUUUUUUAAAGGUGGACUUAUUGUCACACGGAAAUUGAACUGAUAUGUUUGUUCCUCAAUUUUGGGCGGUGGAUAUAAACUCUUAUGAUUAUCUGAUUUUUGUUUGUACUUCUGAAUUUCAAUUUCCCUCUUUUAUUUUAUUGUUUGGAGGCUGAAUUUUUGUUUCAUUAUGAUUUGUUAAAUUCAUUUUUCCUCUAUGAUUUUUUUUCCAGCUUCUUUUCCCUACCUUUGAUCCGCCGUCAUUUGCGGCUACCAUGAAGCCUAGCGAAGUAUCUGGGCAUUGGUGCUUGAUUGUUCUGAAUUUGAGGUUCUGUCAUUUCGAGUGUCUUGAUUCACUCCGUGAUGAAACCUGGGGUGAUGCAGUUAGAUUCUUAAGGAAUAUGACAACUAAUAUAACGAAGCUUUGGAGGGAGUCGAGUGUAGACAUGGCCAAACCAUUCUCGCCGGUGCAUAUUGAUGGUUUCUUUUGCGAGUUUGUGUGGGUGCCGCAGCAGGAAAACACGUGAGUAUCCGUUUUUAAUGAUUUUUGUUGGUUGUUUUUAUUGCUGGGAGGAUGUUGUUCCUGUAUUUUUGGAUUUGUGAUGUACCAUUUUGUUUUUCUUUUGUUUACAGACAUGAUUGUGGAUUCUUUAUGCUACAAAACUGCAAGACCUAUCAUUGCUGGGAGGAUGGUGUAAUUGAAAUGGUCGAUCAUAGCCCUGAAGACAUUCUUAACAUUAGGAAGACUUUGCUGUAUACCUGCGCAACUAGCGAUGUGUUUGAUGUUGACUUUCGGGGUUUGUUUGGCAUUGAACCCUGUACGUGUGCAUGGCCUUUUGUAAUUUUUUGCAGCUUGUACUUCUCUAUUAGUACUGUCAUGAAUUAUGUAUUUGAACUUAUCCUUUGUGCGGUCUUCUUCUUUUUUUGUUUUUGUUUUUUUAGGUGAGUGGCUGGAUCAUGGUGAGCAUGACUACAGGUUCUUUGGCAGCCAGUUCUCGGAGCUCGAGCGUGUAGCUAUUGAUCUUAGCCAGGGGCGUCCUCCCGAAAAGACAAGAUCUGCUGUUGUGAAGGGGCGGUUGGGAGCUCUGAGAGGUUCUACGGCUACUUGUGCAGAGAGCCCUACUACACCCAAGAAUCCCAUUAUGGAAUUGAUAGACAACGAUAAUGAUGUGUUUGACAAGAUUGCUGGCGUGGGAAGAGUCACGAGGAGCGCUGCUGCCAAAAGUUUAUCUCCCCUUGCUGGAAUAGUGGCUCGUAGAGCUGGUGGUGCUAGGAAAGAUCCUGCUUUGGAUUCUUGCAAUGUUGUAAGCACGAAGCGCGCACCCAGAGCUCCUAUGAAGUUUUGCUCCCCUGUGCAGCAGCGUCACCCUCAUAAAUUCCCUCACCUGGACAAGGCUCGCAGGUUGUAUAAUCUGUUGCUUAGUGAUGAAUGGCGUGAGAAGUAUGCCGAGUGAGUAUCUCUCAUUAUUUUUCCUCUUCUUUUUCUUCUGUUGUUUGUAACUGCUAGAUAAAUAUGACCUAAAUUGUUCCUUUUAUACAACUUGAACUGCUAUGAAUGCCUUAUCUUGCUUCUCCUUCUUUUUGUUCUUGUGUGUGCUGCAGGAAUACAUUCUCAAUGAUACCUCGGCCUGAUGAAAGCGUAACUAGCUUCAUUGGGAAUCGCAUCUGGGAAGUUUUUUCACCUGGGCAAAUGAUGGAGGGUGAUGUAAUGGACUUCCUCAUUGAUGACUAGAAGCAAGAUCCUGAGAGAAAUGCUGAUUUCGCAUCUGGGAAAAGGGUAUUGCUGAGUCCAUAUUUCAUCACGGUAAUCAAUCAGAUCGGUUUCUUUCUGUUGAACAAGACUGCCUAUUGUUUUUACGAGUUUCAAUAAUACUUUCUUGUUGAUCCUUUUCCGUGUCUAUUUCUUUUUUGGCUUUUUUGUAGGUUGUGCUUGACUGUACGUUUUACGGUGAUGAAAAUAAAGUGUUUACUGUGGAGAGUGCAGCGAGAGAUUUCAAGAGCUAUGUUAAAGAGAAGGAAGACUUGCUCAGUGCCGACCUUGUGAGAUCUACUAGCUGAUUUUUGGUUUUAUUUGUUUGUUGUGAUGCUGGUUUUUAUUUUGAAUAUUUAACAUCUCUUUUUUGGUCAUUUGUUUUUAGAUCAUGAUGCCUCUAUUCAAGCCUAUGAUUUUAGGAAAGGAUAAGAAAGUGAACCACUAUUCCUUAUAUGUCAUGAAUCGGUACCGAAGUAGCAUUGACAUCCUUGACUCUUUACCUUAUCCAAAGAACCACCAUCCUUCAAAGAACACCUAUCAUAAAGACUGCGAGAAGAUUGUGAGUGACAUUUAUUAUCUGUACUGGAUUAAUUUUUCUGCAUCUUUGUUUCUGCUUUUUCUAAGACCUACAAAUGUGUUUUUUUUUACAAAUUUCUAGAUUGGUCAAAGUAAUGAAGGUUGUGUAUGGUGAUGCUCAGUACAAUGCGAGCAAGCAGCCCAAUUGGGAGCUGUUUGCAAAGAAACCAACGUUUGUCAAGGUUCCACUUCAAGGGCAAAAUGAAUGUGGCCAUUAUACUCUGAAGUAUGUGGGAUCCUAUGAUGGUGAAAAGAUCAUUGAGAACAUUCGAGAUAAUGACGUGGGUUCUAGUUGAGCUUUUCACUUUCUGUUUUUGGCUUAUUGUGUAUCUUUUUUUAUGUGUCGUGAUUUUUGAUAAUUUGUUUUAUUGUUUUGUAGCCAUGUAUUGUUGAUUGGAACGCUGAUGAUCUGUAUAGAGUUGUGUUCAACCGGAAUAGCCAGCUUGUGGUGACGGAGCUUCCCAAGGAGGUUCAGGCUUUCGCUCCUGAUGCAUAGGAGAAAUGGUCAUUGAGGGAGUCCCGGAUUAGGGGGUGCUCGGAUAGCCGAACUAUCAUCGUUGGCUGGACUCCUGGACUAUGAAGAUACAAGAUUGAAGACUUCGUCCUGUGUCCGGAUGGGACUUUCCUUGGCGUGGAAGGCAAGCUUGGCGAUACGAAUAUGUUGAUCUCCUACCAUUGUAACCGACUCCGUGUAACCCUAACCCUCUCCGGUGUCUAUAUAAACCAGAGGGUUUUUAGUCCGUAGGACGAACAACAAUCAUACCAUAGGCUAGCUUCUAGGGUUUAGCCUCUUUGAUCUCGUGGUAGAUCUACUCUUGUACUACCCAUAUCAUCAAUAUUAAUCAAGUAGGAGUAGGGUUUUACCUCCAUCGAGAGGGCCCGAACCUGGGUAAAAACAUCGUGUCCCUUGUCUCCUGUUACCAUCCGCCUAGACGCAUAGUUCGGGACCCCCUACCCGAGAUCCGCCGGUUUUGACACCGACAUUGGUGCUUUCAUUGAGAGUUCCUCUAUGUCGUCGCCAUCAGGAAGGAUGCCUCGUCCCGUCUUUAAAGACGACACCGUUGCUAAAGGAGCUUUGGCCAUCGGCCAAACUCUCCGGCUAGGCGGUUUUCUUAUGACCGCCUUUCGGCCGCCGCGCCGAUGAUGACUUCUCGGGUCAUCAAAAGCAAUCUUCACGUCAACUCGGAACUCGCCGAGGAGUUAGAUCCGAUGGAGCUCUCUUCCUUAAACGAGCUCUUGGAUCGCAUCGCCGCCCUGGGAGUCGCUACAGACUACGACCAGAUUGGGCCUAAAACCGAUCUAAGAGAGAUUAACUCUCCCCAGGCUACCCACCACAUUGCUGUGGUAGAGGAACAAUAUGGCGACCCUUCUUCUAUCCUAAGGACUAGCUAUGUCCAGAUUCAUGACCCCUCCAUGCCGGAUUCCCGCGGAGGGGAGAACACCACUCAAGCCCUGAACUUAAAGUCAGGCAGCGGGCUAGAUUCAUCGAACAACGUCCAAGAACCCAAGCUUCCAAGUUCGGAAACUUCUUGGCCCCUGAGUCUUAGAUCGGACGGGUUCGGAAUUUAACUCCACCCUCCCACCCAAACAUAAGCGAUCUAUCCCAAAUCCGGCAAGAGCCCGCUGAAAUAGUACAUCAUUACUGGGCCAGAUUCCUCCUGGUCAUGAACAGGAUAAAGGACUACCGUGAAGAGGACACAAUUUCAUUCUUCUGCGUUAAUUGCAUGGACGAAGGAAUCCUCAACGCCGUAAUUCAUCGCGAAAUUACAUGCUUUGCUGUUUUGGCGUCCAUAGUACAAAACUAUUGUGCGAUGGAGAGCGCCUGGAAAACUGAAAUCAAAUUUUGGGAUAAUCCGGCCUUGAACACAACCCUAGUCCAAAGUAAAAGGGUGCAUCAUUACCAGGCACCUGGGUUAAAUACCAAAAAGCAAAAACCCUCUAAAGGGCAUGGAACCGUACUGGGGGAUGGCUCAAUGGACCCUGCAAAAUUCAUAGUACAGAGGGCGCCACUCCAACUCAUAACCUUAGAGCAUGUUGGAUACUACGGCAGGUGGCCAAAAGUGGCGAAGAGCUUCUAGCUCCAGAGCACCAGCCCAGCAAUACCAGUACGGUAUUAACAGUCUUCGAAACUUUUGCAUCAAAUAAUAUGCGGAAACAAACACUCCGCAGCCUUGCCGAAGUCCACCAGGUAGCAACAAUAAAUCCAUGGAGUGACACGGCUAUUACCUUUAACGGCAGUGAUGAACCUAAAUUCCGAACAGCCCGAGCACCAGCCGCAUUGGUCCUCAGUCCAAUAGUGGACGACUUUCGCCUUACCAAGGUGCUCAUGGAUGGCGGCAGCGGAUUAAACCUCAUUUACGAGGAAACCCUUCGAGGAAAUAGACUGGAGCCGCAUUGAGCGAAGCAGCAUAACCUUUAGAGGAAUAAUCCCCAGUCGGGAAGCAUGCUGUACAGGAAAAAUCACACUGGAUGUGGUCUUCGGCACGCUGGAUAAUUACAGGUCCGAGGAGGUCACAUUCCAAGUGGCCCCAUUCAGCAGCGGAUACCAUGCUCUAUUAGGGCAAGAGGCAUUCACAAUUUUUCAAGCUAUACCCCAUUAUGGGUACAUGAAGCUCAAAAUGCCCGGACCCAACGGAAUCAUCACUCUUGCUAGUGACCCGGACAUAGCACUCCGCGCCGAAAAUAAAACAGCUGCACUCGCCCUUGAGGCACUAUCCGAAGCCCUAGCAGCCGAGGAACUCACUGCGCUGCGCUCCACGGCGAACAGGGACGAUGUGAUACUCGAUAAGAGAUCCAAGUCCACCUCUUUUAAACCGGCGGACGAAAUAGUCAAAUUCCAAGUCCAUCCAACGGACCCUACAAAAACAGCCUCCAUCGGGGCACAAUUAAACCCUGAUGUAGACGCCGCACUACAAGAAUUCCUACGCGAAAAUUGGGACAUCUUUGCCUGGCACCCUUCAGACACGCCAGGAAUCCCACGCCGGCUGGCCGAGCACAGCCUAAAUAUCCUAAAAGGAUUCAAGCCAGUCAAACAAGCUCUUCGGUGUUUCUCCGAACCCAAGAGACAGGCCAUGGGAGAGGAGCUAGCCAAACUAUUGGUGGCCGAAUUCAUUAGAGAUAUAAAACAUCCGGACUGGCUAGCAAACCUGGUAAUGGUACCAAAGAAGGAAAAAUCAUGGCGCCUGUGUGUUGAUUUCAAGGACCUUAACAAGGCUUGCCCAAAGUAUCCCUUCCCCCUUCCCCGCAUCGAUCAAAUUAUCGAUGCUACCGCAGGACACGAUUCAUUGUGCUUCCUCGACGCAUACUCCGGCUACCACCAAAUUCAGAUGGCAGAGCCAGACCAAGCCGCAACGGCAUUCAUCACUCCACACGACCCAUUCUGCUUCAACACAAUGCCCUUCGGGCUCAAAAAUGCCGGCGCAACAUAUCAGCGCAUGAUUCAGACAUGUCUGGCAAACCAGAUCGACAAAACAGUGGAGGCAUACGUAGAUGAUGUGGUCGUCAAAUCCAAGCAUGUCGAAACUCUAGUAGACGACUUGAGGCUCACAUUCGACAAUCUCCGAGCAUAUGACAUUAAGCUCAACCCAGAAAAAUGCGUUUUCAGCAUACCAGUCGGAAAGCUCUUGGGCUUCAUUGUAUCCGGUAGAGGAAUUGAAGCAAACCCAGCCAAGAUCCGAGCUCUGUCACAAUUGGAUAUCCCAAAAGACCUCAAACAAAUACAAAAAUUGACUGGAUGCGUGGCGGCUCUAAGCCGCUUUAUCUCCCUCUUAGGAGAAAAGGCAUUACCCCUUUAUCGCCUCCUGCGGCACACCGAACACUUCGAGUGGACGGAUGCCGCCACAGCCGGACUCGAAGAAAUCAAAGCCAUAUUGGCAACAAAUCUGGUCCUGUCCGCGCCCAACAUGGGCGAACCAAUGCUAUUAUACAUCACGGCAACCCAUCAAGUUGUAAGCGCGGUGCUCGUUGUCGAACAAGAAACGUACGGACACAAGUUCCCUCUCCAAAAACCAGUUUACUACGUGUCCACUGUCCUAACUCCAUGCAAGUCACGAUACCCGCAUUAUCAAAAGAUAGCAUACGCAGUGUUCAUGGCAUCCCAGAAGCUGCGACACUACUUCCAAGAGUGUUUGAUAACAGUAGCCUCCAAAGUACCUCUUAAUGACAUUAUAAACAACCGCGACGCAACGGGCCGGAUUGCCAAAUGGGCCAUCGAGCUCCUCCCGUUCGACAUAACCUACAAGCCACGGCGAGCUAUUAAGUCGCAAGUUUUGGCCGACUUCGUCGCCGAAUGGACCGAAGCCGAACUCCCUAAAGAGCACGGCGCAUAUUCCAACUGGAUCAUGCACUUUGACGACUCCAAAAUGUUGGCUGACCUAGGGGCUGGCGUCGUUCUGACGUCCCCAACUGGAGAUACAGUCCAAUACGUACUUCAAAUAAUGUACACGGACUCCAACAAUGCAUCUGAAUAUGAAGCCCUUCUACAUGGUCUCCAGAUGGCAGUCUCCAUGGGCAUUCAGUGCCUAGAGGUCCGCGGGGAUUCAAACCUCGCGAUAUCCCAAAUAAAUGGAGACUUUGAUGCCAAGGAUACGAAAAUGGCAGCUUAUCGCAACGUCGUCCUAAAAAUGUCAGCUCGGUUUGAGGGGCUCAAAUUUCACCAUAUAGCCCAGGAGAACAACCAGGCAGCAGACGUGUUGGCACGCAUUGGCGCAAAGCGCGAUGCCGCCCCUCCCAACAUCUUCCUAGAGAGGCUUUUCAAGCCAUCCGUAUUAUGGGAGGGAGAGUCCGGAAAUAACAUCCCGGACCCAACCACACUACCCCACACCGAACAUUCUGACAUAGUUGGUGGUUCUGCCAACGAAAUAACACCGUCAGCCCACACAAUAAUGGCAGUCAUUGCCCCAUGGACAGAACCAUUCCUAGCCUACUAAAUAGGCAGGAACUUCCCGAGGACCAAAACGAGGCCCGCUGCAUAGUGCGGCGAUCUAAAGCCUAAAGGUCCAUGAGGGAGAGCUUUAUAAGAAAAGCACAACCGGAGUCCUUCAAAGGUGUAUCUCCGAAGAGGAAGGGCGGAAUAUUCUGGCUGAAAUUCAUGCCGGACUCGGCGGGCACCACGCCGCAGCCCGGGCCCUUGUAGGCAAGGCCUUCCGUACAGGAUUUUAUUGGCCGACGGCCCGGGCAGAUGCUCAGGACUUGGUCCAACGAUGCGUUGGAUGCCAGCUCUUUGCUAAACAAAGCCACAUGCCACCUACCGCCCUCCAAACUAUACCCAUCACCUGGUCGUUCGCGGUCUGGGGGCUUGAUAUGGUUGGACCCCUUAAAGGAGGAACCCACAAGCAAAAAUACCAAUUGGUCAUGGUGGAUAAAUUCACCAUAUGGAUAGACGCAAAGCCUGUUAAGACGGCCGAAUCUAGACCGGUGAUAGACUUCAUAUCAGGGGUGGUACACCAUUACGGCGUCCCCCAUAGCAUCAUCACUGAUAAUGGCACGAACUUCACGGCCGACGAGGUCAAACUCUGGUGCAAAAACAUGGGCAUCAAGCUCGACUACGCUUCAGUCUAUCACCCUCAAACUAAUGGUCAAGUCGAGCGAGCAAACGGUCUAAUCAUGAGCGGCAUUAAACCCAGACUAGUGCGAUCCCUCAAGGAAUCUAAUACGCAUUGGGUAGAGGAGCUCGACUCCGUACUCUGGGGGCUGCGGACCACGCCGAAUCGCACUACCGGAUUCACACCAUUUUUUAUGGUGUACGGCGCAGAGGCAGUUUUGCCCGGCGACAUAAUUCAUGACUCACCUCCCGUGCGCAUGUACGAAGAAAGAGAAGCCGAGCUCGAUCGGCAGGACAGUUUGGACACCUUGGAGGAGGAGCGCGACGUGGCAAAAGCCCGUUCUGCAUUCUAUCAACAGCAGGCUCGAAGAUACCAAAGCAGAGAAGUACAGGCCAAAGCUUACAAUGUUGGUGAAUUAGUUCUAUGCCUGCCGGACAAGAAAAAGGACAAACUCAAGCCCAAAUGGGAGGGUCCCUUCAUCAUCGACCAAGUCCUGACCGGCGGAGCGUACCGUCUGUGGAACACAUCGGAUAACCGACUUGAGCUGAACCCAUGGAACGCAGCCCGUCUCCGAAGAUUCUAUGCCUAGCGCCGGACUCUGAGUUCGUCUCCUUCCUCCGUCUAUAUUUUGUACUUUAACUGUCUUUUAUUUCUCUCCUUCUCCCUCCUUUUUUCUGAAGCCGUUGGAGGCUCGUUUGUGCACUGUUCGCACACACUUGACGCGUUAUCUGCGCUCAGUAUACCUGGGGGCUUCUUUAACAGAAGCUUAUUUAUACGGGCUUUAUGCCCAACAGAUGUGUCACACUUCCGCAUGUACCUUUUAUUCACCAUUAUAUGCAUCGAUAUGACUUAAGUUUUGGCCAAGCUGGGUUGCCUGGCUCCUGUGCUUACCCCUACGUUCCCGAUUGUUCGGCUAGGUGGUAAAGGGAGCACCUCUGCGAUUGUUACCUCCGGGUCAGCCGGAUGUGUACCUCAGACUGGGUGAAGCCGAAAGCUAGCGUUCUUAAGGGAAUAUUCGGUCGGUGAACUAAAAGACGAUUUCUUACUUAUUCAUUUAUCUGCCCCCAGAUGUUUUUCUGCUUUUUUCGCAGUCCGGACAUGCACUUUAGGGCAUGCCUCCCAGGAAAAGGAACCCCUAACGGAACUAUUCUCCCUGGAAGAUGUUUCUUAAUAACCAUGUAAUAUAACAUAACUAGUUGGCACUUGUCUGAUAAAGCACUCAUGACCCCUACGCCUGGUCUCCACGCAUGCCCCGGUUCUUACAUAACCGCGAGGGUAUUCGAACACACUCCGGACUGUCGGGUCCCGAGGUUGAAGCGAAAAGGUCCGCUACGACAAACGAUCUACAAUCCGGAUAGAAGGCAUUCUACAUGUCAUUUUAAAUUACAUAGUCAAAUUGACUGAUUGUAUUCCUCUUCAAUACCAUCUAAUAAGUUGUCUAGUUUACAGUCCCGCUGGGAAUACUUUGCGGCCAACUCUACUGGGCCGUACAUUAAGCUCACAGGGAUCUCCUUCCCAUCGGGCCCCACAGGUCUGACCUCGGCCAUGUGGUUUGGGUCAGCCUUCGUGUACCGCGUCUUCACCAUGGCCCAGGCCUCCCUGGUGCCUCGACGGCAGGCCGAUAUCUUCCAUAGCCGGAAGCGCCGCCAUGCUCCCUGAAGCCUCUCUGCAAGCUCUCCAAGGCCUUCGAGUAGGGAGAUGGAUGGCUACAAGGCCUGGGCGAUGCCUCUCAUCACCUGCCGAACUCGUUCAUGCAGUUGCAGAAGCUCGGGAAGUAGGUCACCCAUUGAACAGGCCAUUUCCUCUACUGGACGACCUAUGAGCAUACCUACAGACAUAUUUCUGUUAGUCGACUUCCUCGCCGAACUCUUCUUUUCAAAAGUUCGCUCAAACACUUACUAUAAAUGCCGCUAUGAAGCCGCCGAUUCUCCUUAACGGAGUCAGACAGCUGGGCUCGAACAUCCUUUAGUUCCUCACCCAGCUGGGUGUUGGCAUCUUGGAUAUUAUUUUUCUCUUGCCUCACCCUUGUAAGCACAUUCUCACCGGCCUUUAACCGGCACAGGAGCUAUUGCUUGUCCGGAUCUAGUCUGGCGCCAUCUGCAAUAUUACUGUCAGGCUUAUACACACGCCGCACUUCACAAACUACUUAUAUUUCGAAGUAUAUAUCAGCAGAGGGGGUCUCUGUGGCCCCCCUUGUGGCGGCUAGUGCGGCCUCAAGCUGGUCCUUGCACUCUUCAAGCUCCUGAGACAGUCGGGUAUUCUUUUCCGUAAGAUCCUACAUAACAAAUGAUCCUUAAAUCAGUUCUCCUAACUAUUUUAAGUCUCGAGGGCUACUGGCAUAUAUACUGUCAAAUCUCCUCACCCGUAUGUCCUUUACAUACUGCUCCGUGGCUCUGGCUUGACCAUCUUGAGCGGCAUGGAGGUGCGCGUCUCCCGAAUUGAAGGCAUUCAAUGCCUCUUGGGAGAAACAUGCAUCACGAAGAACUGUUCGGCGGCGCCUGUGAUUCAUGGCACUCUCCAGCUCGGAGUUGGUGGCGGACAAUCUGUCGGCAUCCUCUGUCGGAGGAGCAUCUGACGCAUGCCUCGUGUUCACCUCCGCUUCCGGACCCGGCGUUGGAGCCUAGCUGGCGGAGGCUCGAUUGGCCAUCUCUCCGGACAUAGUCCGGCGAGCGCUCUUUUUCCUAGAAGGAGCACCAGUGUUAAUAUACCUUCCCGGAAUCAAUCCCGGGAAUAUGGUGACACGCCUUACCGCUGCGGUGGCGUUUCAAUCCGGACCGCACCUCUUUUUAGCCUGCGUGGCUGUGCUGCCCCUUGUUGGCUAGCCUCCGCGGGCUCGGCCUCCCGCCUCGAAGGCACCCCCUGCGAAACACCAUUGAUAUAUGGUGAUAAAUAAUAAGCACGGAUGGGUCAUUAUCAAAGUACUGGGGCUUCGGUCUCAGUUACCUGUGAGGCUGGAAGUAUUCCGGGGUAAUCGGCCGUAAUGGCAACCAAGGCAUUAUCGAUGCUUAGUUGGUGAAAUACCCCAUCAAUCAGCUCCACCAAUAUGUCCGGAUCCUUUCGGGAGGCUGGAUCGAGGAACCGUUCCAGAUCCUCGGGUUGCGGAGGCGGGCUGUUUAUAUCUUUUACGGCCUGGCGCAGUUCCUGCGCCGAAAUCACAAAAUGAGAUAUCUAACCAUGGGAGUACGGAUCGGAUGUGCAAAAAAGGAAAUGUCCGCUUACCCAGCUUCGAGGAUUGUUCAUAGAAAAUCCGUUCAAUGGACUGAUGCGGAGAAAAUCCUCCUCUUCCCCCUUGUACAGCGCGGACAAGAUCUUCACCAGAUCGGCGACCGAUCCCGGCCCCGUACGGCCGUGACAGGUGGCAUUGUCCUCCCCGUUGAAAUCCCACAUGGGGUGGCCCCUAUACUGGAGCGGCUUCACCCCUCGCAUAAUGCAGGUGUCCAUGACACCGAUCAUUGUCAGUCCGGAAUGAGCUAGCAACCUUAUUCGGCUCAUCAGGUAAAGGACGUCCCUGUCGUUUUCCCUCUGGGGGCUCCGUGGACGCCAACUUAGGCGUUUCUUCAAGGGAGCAUUACUGAACUCCGGGAGGCCGAUCUGAACGGGAUCCAGUAGCGGGGUGUCUUCUAUGUAAAACCAUUCCGAAGGCCAGUCUUCAGAUGCCUUCUUCGGGAUUCCAGAUAGAUAUCCGGUCCCGGCGAUGCGCCAUAGCUCGGCUCCUCCCACUUGAUAUAUUGACCCCUCAUGAGAACGGGGUACGAGGUAGAAUAAUCUCUUCCACAGCGCAAAAUGAGCCUCGACGCCCAAGAACAGUUCGCAAAGGGCCACGAAGCCCGCGAUGUGUAGAAUGGAGGCAGGCGUAAGGUGGUGCAGCUGGAGGCCGUAGAACUCCAGGAGCCCCCGGAGAAACGGAUGUAUUGGAAAUCUGAGUCCUCUUAUCACACAAGAGACAAAGCAUACCCGCUCUCCUUUGGAAGGAUCGGGGACGCUCUCCGCUUGCUUUCCGCCCUUAUAGGUGGCGAGUCCGGCUCGAACCGGAACCAUGAAGGCCGGGGGAAGAAAUCCCUUGGUUUGGAGCGUCACUAGCUUGCUAUGCGGGACUGAGCAUCUCUCCCAAUCCCCAGGCUGGGGGCUGGGAGCUUGAGAGGAGGAGCCGCGUCGACUGUCCAUGAUGGAAUGGAUUUUUUAUCAGAGGCGUUCCGAUGAAAGCUUGCAGAGGGGGGAUGGUGUGAUUCGGAUCUAGAUCCUCGUCUCUUUUUAUAGGCGGCUCAUUUGCGCAGCUAGGGGGAAAGUGUAAAAAUACCCUGGCUUUUCGCAUUCGUUCGACAUGUGGAAGAUGGCCAUUAUUGGGCGUGGAAGCCAAGGAGCGCAGCAUUUAUCAGAAGCCGGACACUAUUCGACAAGUAUAUGGAAUUUGGAGAAGAACCCGCCUUGCAAUGCCGAAGACAAUCUAUGCGCCGGACUCGUCGUCAUUGAAGCCUGGUUCGGGGGCUACUGAGGGAGUCCCGGAUUAGGGGGUGUCCGGAUAGCCGAACUAUCAUCGUUGGCUGGACUCCUGAACUAUGAAGAUACAAGAUUGAAGACUUCGUCCCGUGUCCGGAUGGGACUUUCCUUGGCGUGGAAGGCAAGCUGGGCGAUACGGAUAUGUAGAUCUCCUACCAUUGUAACCGACUCUGUGUAACCCUAACCCUCUCCGGUGUCUAUAUAAACUGGAGGGUUUUUAGUCCGUAGGACGAACAAUAAUCAUACCAUAGGCUAGCUUCUACGGUUUAGCCUCUUUGAUCUCGUGGUAGAUCUACUCUUGUACUACCCAUAUCAUCAAUAUUAAUCAAGCAGGAGUAGGGUUUUACCUCCAUCGAGAGGGCCCGAACCUGGGUAAAAACAUCGUGUCCCUUGUCUCCUGUUACCAUCCGCCUAGACACACAGUUCGGGACCCCCUACCCGAGAUCCGCCGGUUUUGACACCGACAGUCAUCAUUUGCGUAGUGAAUGGGAUAGUUGUGUGAUAUAUCUCUUGAAAGCAUUGUAGGCUCUAUUUGUAGUGUUUCAUGUCUUGUCGAGUACUAUGUAAUAACUAGUAUAUUUUGUGUUGUGCUUAAGUGUGGCACAAUGUUUAACAAACUUUUUUCCAUGAUGAUUGUGUGGUUGAAUAGUAGUUUCACUUGUGUAUGUUUCAUCAGGAAUUCGUUUUGGUUAAGUUUUAUUUUUUGUUCUGAAGACUUAUAUACUUGUUGAACUGAAAACACCUUUUUUCAAGUGUAUUACGAGUUGUUGCUGAGAAAGUGAGAUUUAUUUUAUUUUUAUCUGAUUCCAACCUAAGUUGGGCCUUUAUAGUUUCUGUACUCUCGUUUUCUUGUACUUAUGAUAUAGUUCUGUUAGUACUGAUUUGUAAUCUCAUUCAGCGUAAGGCUUUUAAAAUUUGGUGCCAAAUUUUUGUUUGAACUUCUUGAACUUUAGUAGUUGAACUUCAUAGUAAAAGUUAAAGCACUAGUUCAAAUUAUCUAUGUUUAAGAGAUAGCCCUAUUAAGUUCAAAACUAAUUCUUUCUCAAGGCAUUAAUUGGUAUCAUCAUAGCACUUAGCGAAUAAACUAAUAUGUACUGAGAUUUCAAUUUUGCUAGUACUUUGAUUAUUUAUUUAUUUAUUGUGUUGUUUGAAGCUAGUACGUCUUCUGUUGUGUUUCUUGUGAUUUUUCUCCUUGGUCGAACUGAUAUCUUUUUGAUUAGUUUUGGCCUUCUUUUUUCUAGGUUGUGGUUCUUCUCCUGGCAAUGUUUGGUAUAAUCAUAGCACUUGCCGUAUAGACUAAGUUGUACUGAGAUUUCAGUUGUAUUAUUACUGUUAUUCUUAGUGUGUCACUGUUUUAGGGAAUGCGAACUGAAGCUUCCCGUUCCUUUUUAUAUUUUGUAGAAUGAAUGUACUGUGUGUUCAAGUGUACCAGAACUUUCAGUCCUAUCAUGCUAGUGACUAGGAAAUACGUACUGAUGGUUCUUUGCUUUUCCUGUUGCAGUACUUAGUGAAUUUCUAACUACUAUUAGCAUGAUGCUUUUAGUACUGAAUGUUGUCCUCGGCUGAAACUUAGUCUUUUUUAGUGUUCUUCUGAAAGUAAAAACUGAUUUUUUUAGUAUGAUAGUACUACCGUACAUGUCUAAGCUGUACUGAGCGUCCAAGGCUACUAUUUGCUUUUGUCCUUAGUUAGUCUGCCACUGUUUUUUUGGGAAAAUAUUUAUGUGUUAUUUUUGUUUCUCCAUGACUAGUGCUGCGUGGGAGCCAUCAAGUUUCAACUUCAACCUACUUCAACUUCAAAUGAUGGAUCAACAAAAUAGGAAGCUAGCAAACUUGUUGGAUGACAUAAGCAAAUGAUGUACUUGAUAGACAUAGGCAAACUUGUUCAAACCCUGACACACAUAACAUAAGGUAGCUGGUUCAACAUAACGAAAGUAAACUACAAAUCUGAAACAACAAGACUAAGGACAGGCAGAAGCGCAAGCAACACGAAUGCAGACUUUCAUGCAUCUUCAUCCCGCGAAGUUGCAGUGGUAGUAGGGGUCAGCCUCCUGCUCUUUUGAAAUAUCCCAACCUGUCACGAUGUUGUCAAUUGUCUUCCAUGACUUGUACGUUGCGUACGCAUCUAUUCCUGCGUACGUGAUGAGGUUGUCUGGCAGCAGGCUAGUCCCCCACAGUUUGUGGUCUGCCCUGACCAUCUUAUUCUUCAUGCCGUUGUAGAAUGGGUGGAUGAUGCCGCCUGCAACAUCGUCCAAGGAGUCGUAGUAUUUGUUGGUCUUGGGAUCUUUCCACUUGCGUUGCAUGUCGAUGAAGUUGUUGGGGUUGAUCUCCAAACCAGACUUGUCUAGCAUCUGCUUGUCACCUCCAAUGCUGAAACCGACAAAUGUGUACAAUUUCUCCUGCUGCAGGAAGUCUUUGAGGCGCUUGGGCCUGCAAGGGUGGAGACACACAUUUAAAGAUUAGUCUUCUUUUUUGAAGAUUUAAUUCUUCUGCUUUUUUUUGGUUUUACAUGUGAUUAUCCAUGAUGUAGAUGCUUAUAUAUUAUAAGUCAUGGAUGAAUGUAGUUCAGAAACUAGUACACAAAGUCCUGAAAUUAAAUUCAACUACACCAUGUUAUUUAUUCUUUUUUGCUAUCUUCAUUGCUUCACCAAAUGCUUCACCAAAUUCAAGAACCAUUCUACCAGAGUCAAUGAUAUAUGUGCUGCUUGAUUCAAGUUUAGUUUUCUUUUUUGUUGAAUAAAAGACCUAUACCAGUGCUUGAUACAUCUUUGUGCAUUAAUUCUAUAUCAAGUUCAGAUAUUAAUUUGAGAAACAUGUGCAUCAAGAUAUAGACCUUUACCACUUCACCAAAGAUCUUUUAAUACAUCAAUUCUAUAAACUAUACUAGUGCAUCAAGAUCAGAAUCUAUGCUAGUACAUCAAGUUCAGAAAUUAAUUUGGUGCAUCAAGUUCAGAAAUGCUAUAAACAUUUUUCAGAUGCUAAUCUGGUGAAACAAUCCACUUCACAGUUUAAGAAAUGCAUGUAACUUGAGAAAUAUGUACUUGUGCAUCCACUUCACAAACUAUAGAAGUUCAUCUAGUUGGGAAACAAGUUUAAUUAAGUUUUUAGUGAGUAGUACUAGUACAACAGAUGAAUGGACAGUAGUAUGGGUUACCAUUUUGUGGCUGCUGCGAUGUGGUAUACCAAGCAGAGUUCCUCGACGCAGAACCGCAGGACUGCCGCCAUCUGUGGAGGUUCUUCUUUGUUGGUGUACUCCACAUCAACUCCGAUGAAGCUCGGAUACAAGCCGCCGCCCUUCAUCCUGAGCCUGCUCAUCACCUCGUCGGCCUUGUCCGGUACGCUGGUGCAGACGAUCUCCAGCAUCUCCUUGCCGUGGAGCUCAACCCCUUUGAGCGUUCUGGUGUACUCGCGCUUCUCACCGGGGACGUGAAUGUCGACGAGGUUGCUGCUCUUGUUCGACGUCUCGCCAUGGUGACGCUUGGCGGACAGUUCCUUUGCCAUUGCCUUCCUCCGGUGCUAUGGGCUUGGGAGAGAGAAGUUUUUGGUUUGUGUGCAGUGGAGAUGGAAGCGGCAAUGGUGGUUCUGUGAAUGAGGCAGAGAUGGAAGACAAUGGGGUAUUUUGCAGUGCGUCGACGGGGGUGUGUGGGAGGCGGUUCGUCAGGGGCGUGAGUGUAGUGGUCGUGAGGGCCGCCGUUUGCAGUGCCUCGUGGCAACCGCCCAGUGGGUGGCGCGGGUGGUGGCCUGGAAGAACUAACCAUUCAAGAAAAAUGUUUUUUACUGCUACACUGAUUAGUCUUGUCAAGUUGUAUUUACGAUCUGCUAAAUCCCACUUGCACGUCUCUGCGGUGGUGAUGAUGGCAUUUUGCACUGUUUAGGUGACGUAUGCCUUGUGAUGUUUUUUCCGUGUGGAUGUUAAGUAUUGUUUUUCCAUUGAAGUCUUAUACACCAGUUUAUCUCAAAACAUUUUUUCAAUGCCCUGGGAGUUGUUGCUCAAAACUUGUACUUAUUUUAUUUUCAUCUGUACCAACCUAAGUUAGGCCUUUAUAGUUUUUGUAUUCUCAUUUUAGUGCACUUAUGGUUUAAUACUGUGUGAACUGAAUUGUAAUUUCAUACAACGCACGGGUUUGAAAUUUGAUGUCACAGUGGUGUGAGUGGCCUGACUGAUCCUGCUGUUUUAGUACUGAUGUCAUAUGUAUGUUUGAACUGAGUUUUUUUUGUUUUUUGGAUGGGGGUGGGGGUUUGAGAUUAUUUUACGACCAGAUCGUUCGUUGAGGUGUGGACAUAUUAUAUAUAAAUAAGAAAUUUAGCAGAAUUGACAAAUAAAUUCUAUUUGAACUUUUUGCAUUUUAGUAGAACUUGUCAGAUUUUAUAUAAAUAAGAAAUUUAGCAGAAUUGACAAACAUUAUAUGUUUGAACUUUUUGCAUUUUAGUAGUUGAACUUGUCAGAUUUUAUAUAAAUAAGAAAUUUAGCAUAAUUGACAAAUAUUAUAUGUUUGAACUUUUUGAGUUUUAGUAGUUGAACUUGUNNNNNNNNNNNNNNNNNNNNNNNNNNNNNNNNNNNNNNNNNNNNNNNNNNNNNNNNNNNNNNNNNNNNNNNNNNNNNNNNNNNNNNNNNNNNNNNNNNNNNNNNNNNNNNNNNNNNNNNNNNNNNNNNNNNNNNNNNNNNNNNNNNNNNNNNNNNNNNNNNNUUGACAAACAUUAUAUGUUUGAACUUUUUGAGUUUUAGUAAUUGAACUUGUCAGAUUUUAUAUAAAUAAGAAAUUUAGCAUAAUUGACAAACAUUAUAUGUUUAAACUUUUUGAGUUUUGGUAGUUGAACUUGUCAGAUUUUAUAUAAAUAAGAAAUUUAGCAUAAUUGACAAACAUUAUAUGUUUGAACUUUUUGAGUUUUAGUAGUUGAACUUGUUAGAUUUUAUAUAAAUAAGAAAUUUAGCAUAAUUGACAUACAUUAUAUGUUUGAAAUUUUUGAGUUUUAUUAGUUGAACUUGAAAGUAAUAUUUAAUUCAGUUUUUUCAAUUAUGUACAUUUAACAGAUAGGCUAUUAAGUUCUGUUCUUUUUAGAGGUUCAUUGUUUUUGUAUCAUUUUUUCUCCUUUUUUCUUCUAGAGGUUAAUUGACAAACAUUUUUCUUAUAGUUUAUAUUUCUUUGUCCCGCCCUCUGGUUUUUAUACCUGGGCUUAUUGGUGGGGUAUUUUGUUGACGAUGCAGGCUAUUGGGCCGUUUUCCGGCCCAGUCAGCUCGUCCGCGCGGCUGUGCAGUGCGUCGUUCGCGUGCGCUCUGGGUUUCGUCCCACCUCGCUAGUCGAGGGGGCUCCGGACCUGUUUAUAAGCGCAGCCGAGGCUCACCAGUCGAACUCCUUGUUGGGGAACGUAGCCGAAAUUCAAAAUUUUCUAUGCGUCACCAAGAUCAAUCUAUGGAGAGACUAGCAACGAGAGAGACAGGGAGUGCAUCUUCAUACCCUUGAAGAUCGCUAAGCAGAAGCGUUACAAGAACGCGGUCGCUGGAGUCGUUCACGAAGCGAUUCAGAUCGCGGCCGAAUCCGAUCUAAGCACCGAACAACGGUGCCUCCGCGUUCAACACAUGUACAGCCCACGGACGUCUCCUCCUUCCUGAUCCAGCAAGGGGAGAGGAGAAGUUGAGGGAGAACUCCGACAGCACGACGGCAUGGUGGUGAUGGAGCUCGUGGUUCUCCGACAGUGCUUCGCCAAGCACUACGGAGGAGGAGGAGGUGUUGGAGGAGGGAGAGGGCUGCGCCAGGGGAAGGGUGCGGCUGCUCUUUCUCUCCCUCACUAUAUAUAGGGGGAAGGGAGGAGGGGGAGGUGCCCUAGGGUUCCCUAGGGGAGGGGUGGCAGCCACAGGGGAAACCCUAGAUGGGUUUGGGCACCCCCACCCCCUAGGAAAUUUGCCCCCCAAGUCGGGAGGGGCGGUUGCCCUAGGGGUGAUGCCCCCACCUCUCCUGGUUACGUGAGAUGGGGUGGGAGGGGCGCUCAGCCCCUUAGUGGGCUGAUGUGCCCUCUCCCCUUGGCCCAUGAGGCCCCCCAACGCUUGCCGGGACCUUCGAAACCCCUUUCGGACACGCUGGUCAUCACCUGGUACCCCCGGAACAAUUCCAGACUCCAAUACCCUUCGUCCAAUAUACCGAUCUUCACCUCCGGACCAUUCCGGAGCUCCUCGUCAUGUCUGGGAUCUCAUCCGGGACUCCGAACAACCUUUGGUAACCACAUACUAUUUCCCAUAACAACUCUAGCGUCACCGAACCUUAAGUGUGUAGAGCCUACGGGUUCGGGAACCAUGCAGACAUGACUGACACGUUAUUCGGUCAAUAACCAAUAGCGGAAUCUGGAUACCCAUGUUGGCUCCCACAUGUUCCAUGAUGAUCUCAUCAGAUGAACCACGAUGUCAAGGAUUCAAGCAAUCCCAUAUGCAAUUCCCUUUAUCAAUCUGUAUGUUACUUGCCCGAGAUUCGAUUGUCCGUAUCCCAAUACCUCGUUCAAUCUCGUUACCGGCAAGUCACUUUACUCGUUCCGUAAUGCAUGAUCCCGUGUCUAACUAGUUAGUCACAUUGAGCUCAUUAUGAUGAUACAUUACCGAGUGGGCCUAGAGAUACCUCUCCGUCAUACGGAGUGACAAAUCCCAGUCUCGAUUCGUGCCAACCCAACAGACAGUUUCGGAGAUACCUGUAGUGCACCUUUAUAGCCACCCAGUUACGUUGUGACGUUUGGUACACCCAAAGUACUCCUACGGUAUCAGGGAGUUACACAAUCUCAUGGUCUAAGGAAAUGAUACUUGACAUUAGAAAAGCUUUAGCAAACGAACUACACGAUCUUGUGCUAUGCUUAGGAUUGGGUCUUGUCCAUCACAUCAUUCUCCUAAUGAUGUGAUCCCAUUAUCAAUGACAUCCAAUGUCCAUGGUCAGGAAACCAUGACCAUCUGUUGAUCAACAAGCUAGUCAACUAGAGGCUCACAAGGGACAUGUUGUGGUCUAUGUAUUCACACAUGUAUUGCAGUUUCCGGUCAAUACAAUUAUAGCAUGAAUAAUAGACAAUUAUCAUGAACAAGGAAAUACAAUAAUAACCAUUUUAUUAUUGCCUCUAGGGCAUAUUUCCAACAGUCUCCCACUUGCACUAGAGUCAAUAAUCUAGUUCACAUCACUAUGUGAUUGUAAUGAAUCAACACCCAUGGGGUUUGAUCAUAUCUCGCUUGUGAGAGAGUUUAUUAGUCAACGGAUCUGAACCUUUCAGAUCCGUGUGUGCUUUGCAAAUCUCUAUGUCAUCUCCUAGAUGCAACUACCACGCUCUAUUUGGAGCUAUUCCAAAUAACUAUUAUACUAUACGAAUCUGGCUUACUACUCAGAAUAAUCCGGAUUAGUGUCAAAGUUUGCAUCGGCGUAACCCUUUAUGACGAACUCUUUUACCACCUCCAUAAUCGAGAAAAUUCCUUAGUCCACUAGUUACUAAGAAUAACCUUGACCACUGUCCUGUGAUCCAUUCCUGGAUCACACUUGUACCCCUUAACUGACUCAUGGCAAUGCACACUUCUGGUGCGGUAGACAGCAUAGCAUACUGUAGAGCCUACGUCUAAAGCAUAGGGGACGACCUUCGUCCUUUCUCUCUCUUCUGCCGUGGUCAGGUCUUGAGUCUUACUCAAUACUCACACCUUAUAACACAGCCAAGAACUCCUUCUUUGCUGAUCUAUUUUGAACUCCUUCAAAAUCUUGUCCCGGUGCGUACUCAUUUGAAAGUACUAUCAAGCGAUUUUGAUCUAUCCUUAUAGAUCUUGAUGCUCAAUGUUCAAGUAGCUUAAUCCAGGUUUUCCAUUGAAAAACACUUUUCAAAUAACCCUAUAUGUUUUCUAGAAACUCUACAUCAUUUCUAAUCAACAAUAUGUCAAUAACAUAUACUCAUCAAAAAUUCUAUAGUGCUCCCACUCACUUCUUUGGAAAUACAAGUUUCUCAUAAACAUUGUAUAAACCCAAAAUCUUUGAUCAUCUCAUCAAAGCGUAUAUUCCAACUCCGAGAUGCUUACUCCAGUCCUUAGAAGGAUUGCUGCAGCUUUGCAUACUUGUUAGCAUCUUUCAGGAUUGACAAAACCUUCUGGUUGUAUCACAUACAAAGUUUCCUCAAGAAUAUCGUCGAGGAAAUAAUGUUUUGACAUCCUAUCUGCAAGAUUUCAUAAAUCAUGCAGUAAUUGCUAAUAUAAAUCCAAGAGACUCUUAGCAUCGCUACGAGUGAGAAAGUCUCAUUGUAGUCAACUCCUUGAACUUGUCGGAAAACAUCUUAACGACAAGUCGAGCUUUCUUAAUGGUGAUACUUACCAUCAUUGUCCGUCUUCCUUUUAAAAUCCAUCUAUACCCAACAGCCUUACGACCAUCAAGUAGUUCUUCCAAAGUCUACACUUUGUUUUCAUACAUGGAUCCUCUCUCGGAUUUUAUGGCCUCGAGCCAUUUGUCGGAAUCCGGGCCCACCAUCGCUUCUCCAUAGCUCGUAGGUUCAUUGUUGUCUAGCAACAUGACCUCCAAGACAGGAUUACCGUACCACUCUGAAGCAGUACAUGUCCUUGUCGUCCCACGAGGUUUGGUAGUGACUUGAUCCGAAGUUUCCUGAUCACUAUCAUCAACUUCCCUUCAAUUGGUGUAGGUGCCACAUGAACAACUUCCUGUGCCCUGCUACACACUGGUUGAAGUGAUGGUUCAAUAACCUUAUCAAGUCUCCACCAUCCUCCCACUCAAUUCUUUCGAGAGAAACUUUUCCUCGAGAAAGGACCCGUUUAAGAAACAAUCACUUUUGCUUCCAGAUCUAAAAUAGGAGGUAUACCCAACUGUUUUGGGUGACCUAUGAAGAUGCAUUUAUCCGUUUUGGGUUUGAGCUUACUAGGAUGAAACUUUUUCACAUAAGCAUGGCAGCCCCAAACUUUUAAGAAACGACAGCUUAGGUUUCUCUAAACCAUAGUUCAUACGUUGUCAUCUCAACGGAAUUACGUGGUGCCCUAUUUGAAGUGAAUGCGGUUGUCUCUAAUGCCUUACCCAUAAAUGAUAGUGGUAAUUCGAUAAGAGACAUCAUGGUAUGCACCAUAUCCAAUAGGGUGUAGCUAUGAUGUUCGGACACACCAUCACACUAUGGUGUUCCAGGCGGUAUUAGUUGUGAAACAAUUUCCACAAUGUCUUAAUUGCAUACCAAACUCAUAACUCAGAUACUCAUCUCUAUGAUCAUAUCAUAGACAUUUUAUCCUCUUAUCAUGAUGAUCUUCAACUUCACUCUGAAAUUACUUGAACCUUUCAAUAAUUCAGACUUGUGUUUCAUUAAGUAAAUAUACUCAGCAUCUACUCAAAUCAUCUGUGAAGUAAGAACAUAAUGAUAUCCACUGCAUGCCUCAGCACUCAUUGGACUGCAUACAUCAAAAUGUAUUACUUCCAACAAGUUGCUUUCUUGUUCCAUCUUACUGAAAAACGAGGCUUUUCAGUCAUCUUGCCCAUGUGGUAUGAUUUGCAUGUCUCAAGUGAUUCAAAAUCAAGUGAGUCCACAUGAUCCAUCUGCAUGGAGUUUCUUCAUGCGUACAUACUAAUAGACAUGGUUCGCAUGUCUCAAACUUUUCAAAAAACGAGUGAGUCCAAAAGAUCCAUCAACAUGGAGCUUCUUCAUGCAUUUUAUACCAAUAUGACUCAAAUGGCAGUGCCACAAGUAGGUGGUACUAUCAUUACUAUCUUAUAUCUUUUGGCAUGAACAUGUGUAUCACUACGACCGAGAUUCAAUCAACCAUUCAUUUUAGGUGCAAGACCAUUGAAGGUAUUAUUCAAAUAAACAGAGUAACCAUUAUUCUCCUUAAAUGAAUAACCGUAUUGCGAUAGACAUAAUCCAAUCAUGUCUAUGCUCAACGCAAACACCAAAUAAAAAUUAUUUAGGUUUAACACCGAUCCCAAUGGUAGAGGGAGCAUGCGAUGUUUGAUCACAUCAACCUCAGAAAUACUUCCAACACAUAUCGUCACCUCACCUUUAGCUAGUCUCUGUUUAUUAUGUAUCCUUUUAUUUUGAGUUACUAACACUUAGCAACCGAACCGGUAUCUAUUACCAUGGUGCUACUAGGACUACUAGUAAAGUACACAUCAAUAUAAUUUAUAUCCAAUAUACUCUCGUCGACCUUGCCAGCCUUCUCAUCUACCAAGUAUCUAUGGUAGUUCUGCUUCAGUGACUGUUCCCCUCAUUACAGAAGCACCUAGUCUCGGGUUUGGGUUCGACCUUGGGUUUCUUCACUAGAGCAGCAACUGAUUUGCCAUUUCAUGAAGUAUCCCUACUUUCCCUUGCCCUUCUUGAAACAAGUGGUUUCACCAACCAUCAACAAUUGAUGCUCCUACUUGAUUUCUACUUUCGCGGUGUCAAACAUCGCGAAUUGCUCAAAGAUCAUCAUGUCUAUCCCUGAUAUGUUAUAGUUCAUCACGAAGCUCUAAUAGCUUGGUGGCAGUGACUAUGGAGAACCAUCACUAUCUCAUCUGGAAGAUUAACUCCCACUCAAUUCAAGUGAUUGUAGUACUUAGGCAAUCUGAGCACAUGCUCAACAAUUGAGCUUUUCUCCCUUAGUUUGCAGGCUAAGAAACUCGUCGGAGGUCUCAUACCUCUUGACAUGGGCACGAUCUUGAAAUCCCAAUAUCAGCCCUUGGAACAUCUCAUAUGUUCCGUGACAUUUCAAAAACCUCUUCGGCGCCACAAUUCUAAACCGUUUAACAUUACUGAACUAUCAUGUAGUCAUCAAAACGUGUAUGUCAGAUGUUCGCAACAUCCACAGACGAUGUUCGAGGUUCAGCACACCGAGCGGUGCAUUAAGGACAUAAGCCUUCUGCGCAGCAAUGAGGACAAGCCUCAGUUUAUGGACCCAGUCCGCAUAAUUGCUACUAUCAACUUUCAACUAUAUUUUCUCUAGGAACAUAUCUAAACAGUAGAACUAAAACGUGAGCUUAUGACAUAAUUUGCAAAGACCUUUUGACUAUGUUCAUGAUAAUUAAGUUCAUCUAAUCACAUUAUUUGAUGAACUCACACUCAGAUAGACAUCCCUCUAGUCAUCUUAAGUGAUACAUGAUCCGAGUCAACUAGGCCGUGUCCGAUCAUCACAUGAGACGGACUAGUCAUCUUCGAUGAACAUCUUCAUGUUGAUCGUAUCGACUAUACGACUCAUGCUCGACCUUUCGGUCUCUUGUGUUCCGAGGCCAUGUCUGUACAUGCUAGGCUCGUCAAUUCAACCUAAGUGUUUCGCGUGUGUAAAUCUGGCUUACACCCGUUGUAUGUGAAUGUUAAAAUCUAUCACACCCGAUCAUCACAUGGUGCUUCGAAACAACGAACUUUCGCAACGGUGCACAGUUAGGGGGAACACUUUGUUGAAGUUUUAAUGAGGGAUCAUCUUAUUUACUACCGUCGUUCUAAGCAAAUAAGAUGCAUAAACAUGAUAAACAUCACAUGCAAUCAAAUAGUGACAUGAUAUGGCCAAUAUAAUUUUGCUCCUUUUGAUCUCCAUCUUCGGGGCUCCAUGAUCAUCAUCGUCACCGGCACGACACCAUGAUCUCCAUCAUCAUGUCUCCAUGAAGUUGUCUCACCAAUUCAUUACUUCUACUACUAUGGCUAACGGUUUAGCAAUGAAGUAAAGUAAUUACAUGGCGUUAUUCAGUGACACGCAGGUCAUACAAUCAAUAAAGAUAAAUCCUAUGGCUCCUGCCGGUUGUCAUACUCAUCGACAUGCAAGUCGUGAUUCCUAUUACGAGAAUAUGAUCAAUCUCAUACAUCACAUAUAUUUCAUUCAUCACAUCCUUCUUGGCCAUAUCACAUCACACGGCAUAUGCUGCAAAAACAAGUUAGACGUCCUCUAAUUGUUGUUGCAAGUUUUUAUGUGGCUGCUAUAGGUUUCUAGCAAGAACGCUUCUUACCUACGCCAAAACCACAACGUGAUAUGCCAAUUGCAAUUUAACCUCCAUAAGGACCCUUUUCAUCGAAUCCGAUCCGACUAAAGUGGGAGAGACAGACACUCGCUAGCCACCUUAUGCAACAAGUGCAUGUCAGUCGGUGGAACCUAUCUCACGUAAGUGUACGUGUAAGGUCGGUCCGGGCCGCUUCAUCCCACAAUACCGUCGAAACAAGAUAGGACUAGUAACGGUAAGCAUAUUGAACAAAAUCAACGCCCACAACAACUUGUGUUCUACUCGUACAUAGAAACUACUCAUAAACCUAGUUCUGAUACCACUAUUGGGGAACGUAGCAGAAAUUCAAAAUUUUCUACACAUCACCAAGAUCAAUCUAUGGAGAGACUAGCAACGAGAGAGAGAGAGGGAGUGCAUCUUCAUACCGUUGAAGAUCGCUAAGCGGAAGCGUUACAAGAAUGCGUCAGUGGAGUCGUUCACAAAGCGAUUCAGAUCGCGGCCGAAUCCGAUCUAAGCACCGAACAACGGUGCCUCCGCGUUCAACACACGUACAGCCCGGGGACGUCUCCUCCUUCUUGAUCCAGCAAGGGGAGAGGAGAAGUUGAGGGAGAACUUCGACGGCACGACGGCAUGGUGGUGAUGGAGCUCGUGGUUCUCCGGCAGGGCUUCGCCAAGCACUACGGAGGAGGAGGAGAUGUUGGAGGAGGGAGAGGGCUGCGCCAGGGGAAGGGUGCGACUGCUCUCUCUCUCCCUCACUAUAUAUAGGGGGAAGGGAGGAGGGUAGGCACCCUAGGGUUCCCUAGGGGAGGGGCGGCGGCCACAGGGGAAACCCUAGAUGGGUUUGGGCGCCCCCAUCCCCUAGGAAAUUUUCCCCCCAAGCCGGGAGGGGCGGCUGCCCUAGGGGUGGCGCCCUCACCUCUCCUGGUUACGUGAGAUGGGGUGGAAGGGGCGCUCAGCCCCUUAGUGGGCUAAUGUGCCCUCUCCCCUUGGCCCAUAAGGCCCCCCAAUGCUUGUCGGGGCCUCCUAAACCCCUUUCGGACACGCUGGUCAUCACCUGGUACCCCCGAACAAUUCCGGACUCCAAUACCCUUCGUCCAAUAUACCGAUCUUCACCAUCGGACCAUUCCGGAGCUCCUCGUCAUGUGCGGGAUCUCAUUCGGGACUCCGAACAACCUUCGUUAACCACAUACUAUUUCCCAUAACAACUCUAGCAUCACCGAACCUUAAGUGUGUAGACCCUACGGGUUCGGGAACCAUGCAGACAUGACCGAGACAUUAUCCGGUCAAUAACCAAGAGCGGAAUCUGGAUACCCAUGUUGGCUGCCACAUGUUCCACGAUGAUCUCAUCGGAUGAACCACGAUGUCAAGGAUUCAAGCAAUCCCGUAUGCAAUUCCCUUUGUCAAUCUGUACGUUACUUGCCCGAGAUUCAAUCAUCGGUAUCCCAAUACCUCGUUCAAUCUCGUUACCGGCAAGUCACUUUACUCGUUCCGUAAUGCAUGAUCCCGUGACUAACUAGUUAGUCACAUUGAGCUCAUUAUGAUGAUGCAUUACCGAGUGGGCCCAGAGAUACCUCUCCGUCAUACGGAGUGACAAAUCCCAGUCUCGAUUCGUGCCAACCCAACAGACAGUUUCGGAGAUACCUGUAGUGCACCUUUAUAGCCACCCAGUUACAUUGUGACGUUUGGUACACCCAAAGUAAUCCAACGGUAUCAGGGAGUUACACAAUCUCAUGGUCUAAGGAAAUGAUACUUGACAUUAGAAAAGCUUUAGCAAACGAACUACACGAUCUUGUGCUAUGCUUAGGAUUGGGUCUUGUCCAUCACAUCAUUCUCCUAAUGAUGUGAUCCCGUUAUCAAUGACAUCCAAUGUCCAUGGUCAGGAAACCAUGACCAUCUGUUGAUCAACAAGCUAGUCAACUAGAGGCUCACUAGGGACAUGUUGUGGUCUAUGUAUUCACACAUGUAUUGUGGUUUCCGGUCAAUACAAUUAUAGCAUGAAUAGCAGACAAUUAUCAUGAAUAAGGAAAUACAAUAAUAACCAUUUCGUUAUUGCCUCUAGGGCAUAUUUCCAACACUCCUCUGAACACUUACCUGAGCGCUUAUACACGGCGCCCGCUCUCUCUCUCUCUCUCUCUUGACCUGUGGGCCCUAGUCGGUCGGUCCUGCGUUGUGCGGAUUACUAGGGAUUCACCCACGAGCUCGAGUUCAAGUAUCUAGCAUUGUCAGGACCUGCGCCUGACCUUGGGCAGUCAAUUUUUUUGUUUUUUUUGUUUGUUUGAAUCUAGUACUUGACUCCACCAGUAACUUGGACUGAUACUUUUUGUUCUAGUUCUUGUCAGUUUUAUGUGAGUGUAAUCUUUUUCAUUUGAGUUUCUUGCCUUCUUUUUGUGUUUGUUUUUGUGAUUAUUCUCAAGUGUCUUCUGGUGUCAUUUCAGAACUAUGGUACUUGCAUGUAGACUGAGUUGUACAGAUAGUGCAUUCAUAGUAGCGCUUAUGGAAUGAUGCUUCUUCGUGCUUUUUAUUGUAGUGAGUAUGUAUUGUCCGAUCAAGUGUACUAUUACUGUCAUUCUUAAUCUGCAAGCGACCAACAUAAGUGUGUGUUGAUGCUUCUUAACUUUUUAUGUUUGUAGUACUUCUUAAUUUUCUAGCAGCUACAUAUGAAUGAGAACACUACAUGAAGUACUAAGAAUUUUCGCUUCAAAUUUUGAAGCGUUGUUAAGCAACUCAAAUUGUGCUCAUUGUUCUCAACGUUAUGUUUUCUAUACAAUACUGAAUCGAAACUAGACAUGGAACAACGUUGUGUGAUUAGUUGCAUCAUAACUAGUACUUUAGAGCAGCCACAAAGUUCCAUUUAGAAGCUACUUUUGAAUUUGAAAUGAUGGAUUAACAACAUACGAAGCUACCAAACUUAUAUAAUGAGAUAAGCAAAACAUUGUACUUGAUGACAUAACUAAACUUGUUCAACCAUGACAAGCAUGACAUAAUCAUACUAGUUCAACCCAACAAGAGCAAACUACUAAUUUGAAACAACAAGAUAAAAGGCAAGCACAAGCGGAAGUAAAACGAAGGCAGGCUCUGAUGUAUCUUCAUCCCUAAAAGGGACAGAAGGGGCGGUCGUAGUAGUGGUCAGCCUCCCGCUCUUUCGCAUACUCCUAACCAUCUGUGAUGUAGUCGAUUACGAACCAUGACUUGUACGUGGUGUACACAUCUACUCAUGCGUACUCGAUGAGGUUGUCCUGUAGCGGGCUGGUCCCCCACAGUUUGUAGUCUUCCUGUGUGUUGAUCUUCUUCUUCAUGCCUUUGUAGAAUGGGUGGAUGACGGUGGCUGCAACAUCUAUCAAGGAGUCGUACUCUUUUCCGGUGUAUGGAACUCUCCACUUGCGCUGAAUGUCGAUGAACUUGUUGGGGUUGAUCUCCAUACCGGACAACUUCAGCUUCUCUUUGUCGCUUUCAAUGUUGAAACCGGCAAAUAUGACCGACUUCUCAUGCUGCAGCAUCUCGGUCAGGCGCUUGGGCCUGCAAGGGGAGAGACAUUUUGAAUAUUAGCAUUACUUUGAUGUUUGAAUUAUUCAUUUUUGUUUUGUUUUACAAGCGAUGAAUCCAUGAAGUAUUUGUUUAUAUAGGAUAAACAAUGGAUGAAUGUACUUCAAAAACUAGUAAACAAAGUUCUGAAAUUAAAUUAAGUACAUCAUGUUAUUCUUCUUUUUGGAUUAUACAUAGUUUCAGUCAAUGUUGUAUGUUCUGCAUUUGGUACUAGUUUAGUUUACUUUUGUUGAAUAGGAUAACACAUAACCAGUGCUUCACCAAGUCCUUAGUUUAUUUUCUUAUGAAAAUAACAUUAGAUCAAAUAAAGAAAAUACUUCACUACAUCAAGUUCAGAAACAUCUUUUUAAUACAUCGAGUGCAUAGACUACACUAUUUGAUCAACUUCAGAAACUACACUAGUCGAUCAACUUCAGAAUUUAAUCUUCCGCAAAUUUUCCAAAUAGUAAUCCAGUGCAUCAGGUUCAAAAAUACAUUUUACAAUGUAUCUACUUGAGAAAAUGCAGUAGUGCAUCCACUUUUCACAAACCACACUAGUACAUGUAGUUGGGAUACAAGUCUGAUGAAAUUUUCAGAAUACAGUACUAAUAAAACAGAUAAACCAUACAGGGCAAAUGAGUAGGAUGGCUCACCAUUUUGUGGCCGCUGCGAUGUGGUACACCAAGCAGAGCUCCUCGACGCACAACUGCAGGACUGCUGCCAUCUGGGGAGGUUCAUCUUCGUUGGUGUAGUGCACACCAACGCCGACGAUCCUACAAUUCGGACUCUUGCCGCCAAGCAUUUUCUAGAGCCUCGAGAUCACCUCGUCGGCCUUUUCUGGUACGCUGGUGCAGACAAUCUCCAGCGUCUCGUUGCCGUGGAGCUCAACCCCUUUGAGAGUUGUUGUGUACUCGCGUUUCUCGCCGGGGACGUGAAUGUCUAUGAGGUUGCUGCUCUUGUCCGACGUCUCGGCAUGAUGACGCUUGGCGGAUGGUUCCUCCGCCAUCGCCUUCCUCCGGCGACUGUGGGCUUGGGAGAGAGAAGUUUUUGGUUUGUGUGCAGUGGAGAUGGAAGCGGCAAUGGUGGUUUGUGGGAAUGAGGGAGAGAUGGAAGAGAAUGGUUUUUUUGCAGUGCGUGGACGGGGAUUUGUGGGAGGUGGUUCGUCGCGGGCGUGGGUGUAGUUGGUGUAGUGGCGUGGGGUCACCGUUUGCAGUCCCUUGUGGCAACCGCUCAGUGGGUGGGGCGGGUGGAGGCGUGGAAGAACUAACCGUCCAAGUUAAAUGGUUUUUACUUUUGCACUGACUAGUCUUGUCAAGAUGUACUUGUGACAUGCUAAAUCCCACUUGCACGUCUCUGUGGUGGUGAUGAUGGCAUUUUACUGUUGCACCCAUUCAUAUAGUCAACCUGUACUUAUCAGCUGCUUAUCCCACUUGCACGUGUCAGGGUCGAUGAUGAUGGAGGUCUGAACUCCUCUACUGUGGUACUUGGACUAGUGAUUGAAGUGUAAUUGAAUGUACCAAAUACCAGUGAGAAUAUGUGUGGUCCUAAUGUUUUUUAAAACAAUUUUCGUAUUUUUUAAAGGAUUGUUUAUAUCAAGAUAAUCUCUGAGUAUUUUUACAGAUAAAUUAGAUUUUCAUGAGUACAGGAUGUAUUAUAUUCGCAUUUUGCUUGGGGUAAUUAUUUUUAUGUACUGAUGGUCCUUCUGAAUCGGGACUGGCAGAAGUAGACAUAGCUUUGUUUUUUCAAAACAAUUUUUUAGGCGUUCACGGGUGUGUUUGUUUUACUAUGCCUUUGUACUGACGACUGAGAAUUAUCAGUACUGAUGUACUACAAGAGUUUAAAUUUUUCCUUGGCAUAUUUUUGCUGAGUUACUAUUCGACAGUAGCGUUUGCGUCAGAUAUAUCUAGAUAAGUUUUUUCAAAUGUAUUUGUGACUGCAUUCAAAAGGAUUAUCAAAUAGUUUACAUAAUAAUGUCACUCCAGCGGGCACAAAUCAGAAAUUAUAUCAGUACUGAUGUGUACUCUGCAUUGUAUUGACGAUUGAGAAUUAUCAGUACUGAUGUACUACAAGAGUUUAAAUUUUUUCCUUGACAUGUUUUUUUGCUGAGUUACUGGUUGACAGUAGCGUUUUGCGUCAUAUAUAUCCAGAUAAGUUUUUUCAAACAUAUUUGUGACUGCAUUCAAAAUGAUUAUCAAAUGGUUUAAAUAAUAAUGUCACUGCUCCAGCGGGCACAAAUCAUAAAUUACAUAUUAACUAUAGUACUGAUCGAGAAAUCGACGAUAAAGCUAAAUAAGUUUUGGUAACGACGGUGUUUCUGAAAUGUUUUCGCAUUGUGUGCCGAUGCAACUGAGACUACAAGGUUAGUUUUUAGUUGACGCAGCAGGAUAACCACUAUGUAUUGUUUAGCCUUGAGAUUCUCCUAACUGUCCCCGAAUGUUGUGCCUUGCCGGCGCCCUUUCCAGGUUGAGCCUUGGCAGCUUCAUCGUCAGUUUCAGUUUCCUCGCCCCCGACACUGUCAUCUUCAUUGUCUUUGUCUGAUUGGUCAUCAUUCUCGUCAAACUCUUUGUCUUCAUCGUCUUCAUUUGAUUGUUUGGAUCUCUGUACCUUGCCAUGUUUCUGUUCAGCUCCACUGACCUCCUUGCCCACUUUGCAUGUGCGGGCAUUAUGUCCGUCAGUUCCCCCACACUUGCGGCAAGUGUAGCUGUUACGUGUGUUGUCUCCAUUGGUAGAAAGCUGGGUGGCUCCAAUCUGCUUGUUCUUGUUGACAGUGGCAUCUGUGCGGAGUGGGCAUGUGCGGUAGUUAUGGUUGCUCACGACAUUGCAGAAUCUGCAUGCCCUUAUCCCGAGAGGUUUGCCGUCCGGGCCAAAUUCCACGCGCUUGAUGGGGUGUUGUGGAUUUUUGGCUACUGCUUGCAUCUUGCUCUUCUUCCCCUUUGUGUUUGAGAAUAUGGGUGGUUUAAUCACCCUUUCCUGCUGCUGCUGGUAGGAUGUGCUAUUGUCAUGUCGUUCGCCUACAGCACCAUCAAGCUCAUGAUCUCGCAUGUGAGCUUGUUGGUGCUCUUGAGUGUGCACAUGGGCAAGCUCCGGUUGCUGCUGCUCCACUUCCUCAUUGUCAAACGGGUCAAUAGCUCCCAGAUGGUUCAUCUCGGAUAACAUUGUAGCAAUAUCCUGCUCAAUGGCUUCAUUGUCCAUGACACCUCCAUUUUCAGCAGAAUGCAUGGCGUCGAGUUCUUGUUCAAGUUUGUCCAUGACGACCCGCGACCUCGCCAUUUGGUCUUGGCUUCUCAAGCUUUUUCUGUGCACCCUCAUGGUCAGCAUCAGCAGUGAGCUUUCAAUGCAGUAUUAGGAUGCCUUGUUUGAUGCUACUGUCCUCAAAUCAUUUCUAUUGAAUGUUGGCUGGAUGUUCGGGCGUUUGGUGUAUCUCCUGAGGAUGUAUUUCUCUGGAACGCUGGCAGCCUUAAUUGUCUGGAUCAUGCACAGGACAUGCACGCAGAAAAGACCUGUAUUGUUUUUGGAAGAGAUGCAUGUUUUUGUCAUUUCAUUCAAACAAAAACUUUGCAAAAAAAGUAGUACAUUAUGUAACAUAUUUUUUGUAGUCCUCACCUGUGUGUUCCCAUAGCCUGCACUCGCACUCAUAUGUUUCUCCCACGGGGUCUGCAACCACCUAGAACGCGUGCUGAGCCCACACAGACAUUUUUUGCGGGUGGUUGUAGCGCACAAGGUACUUUGUGGGCUCUUCCAUCUCUAUCGCCGUGAAGAGUGUGCUCAGAUUUAGCCUUUUUCUGAUCUCGCUGUACACAGCUCGUGAGUAGAGCUCUGCCAUCUGGGUGUCAAACCCAUAGAAGGUUAGUGUGUUUUGUUCCUUCUGCAUAUGCAAGAACGAUGACCAAAUUGUUAGUUUUCUCACAGAAAAAACUUGUAAUAAAGUUUUACUUUAGUAAGCAUGUUUUUUUGUCUUACGACAAGUGAUAGAGCUAUACCCGGUUAGCCAUUGUCUCCUGGUUCUCUGUCUGCCUCCUGGUUUUGACGCAGGAGUUUACCUGGCUGACAAACCGGUGUAGGUUUUGUCUCUCACUUACAAAGUUCUUCUUGAGCACAUAGUUCAUGCUCUCACUUUGCUGUGUGGAUGUCAUUUUGGCGCAGAAAAUUUCUUUGAAGUAGGCUGAUAUCCAUCUCUCAUGCUCGUUCCACAUGCCCACCAUUGUGGCAUCAUCGUGGAGGUUGUACUUAUCCAUGAGUCUUUUCCAGGCAUCCUCAACCUCAGUUGGCAUGAGGGGCCAGUUGAGCAUUGAUGUGAAUUCAUCCUUAAAGUCAUCAUGCAGGUAGUACAGGUACGCGAGGUGUUCCAUGUACUUCUUCAUAAUGUGCCAGCGGCAUAGCUUAUGUACCGUGUUCUUGAAAACAUCUGGGAUCGCCAAAGCCAUUGCCGGGCACUGGUCUGGUAAUGAGAAAAUAGACUAAGAGUGGUCAGCAGAUGGUUGUGCAUAUAUACCAAUAGAACUGACACAACAUUUUUACUGUGUUAUUUUCCUUUUUUUGAUGGGAGGUGGUGGUUGGGGGUGGUUUUGGCUGUUGUACCUGUGAGGAUGCAUGUAGGAGCCUUCCCUCUCAUGCACCUUAAAAAUGUCUUGAAUAGCCACUUGAAUGAAUCUGCAUCCUCAUCUCUUAUUAGGGCGAAACCAAAAAAUGUAGUCUAUAAGUGGUUGUUAGUUCCGACAAACACCCCAAGUGGCAUAUGGUACUUGUUGGUCUUAUAUGUUGUGUCAAACGUUAGCAGUCCCCAAAGUCCUGAUACGCCCCUCGGCAGCUUGCGUUCGCCCAGAAUAUGUUCUUAACUCUGUCAGACUCAUCGAGUUGCAUGUCACAGAAGAAUUCCCUGUUUAUAGCUUUCAUCUCCCUAAAGAAGUUGACAGUCUUUAGGACAUCGUCCACAUCAUCAAUCCUUGAAUUCUUUGCUUUCCUGCAUAUUAAAAGUUCAUUCAAAAAUGCAUGUUGAACUGGCAUCAGGUCAUGCGUUGUGUAAUAUGUUUGUACUGACAGAGGAAAAAAGAUGGAGGCGGUUUAUGGGAGGAGAACAAGUUUGUACUUACAGGUUAAUCAGGUCUUUGGCAUUCAUUUCGAGGAAGUAGCUACCAGGGUCAUCAUCGCCCAGUAUGCUCAUGAUUUGCGCGUGUUCAAUGCCUUUGAACUGCAGGUACUUGACGUACUCCAAGAUUGUUUUGUCAAAGUUUUUGUGGGAGUGCAAGAAGGCAAGCAUUUCUGCGGUGAGCUGUAGCCUGUGGUUGUGUUCCCAGACUAUCUCUUUUACGACAAAUGUUCCAUCGUUUUCCUUCUUCAGCCUCAUUUUAGCCCCGCAGUUAGUUCUGGUUGUCGUCUUGUUAUGCUGUCUAUUUGCUUCAGACACCUUGGAUUCAUAAAAUCCAUAGCACGUGCAAUAAAGGUAGGCUCUGGUCUUAAACUUGGGGCCUUCCCUGACAGCAAAACCCGCGUGCUUUGCAUAUACGUUGUAGAAGUUCUUUGUUUCUUGAAAGUUUCAAACCGCAUCUCUAGCCUUGGCGGAACGUAAGCUUCAAUGUCAGGUGACUGCACGCAAUAGUGACCAAACAAAAACGUAGUUCUGAAAAUGUUAGAUGGGGUGGUCACAUCACCAUGGUAUGUACUGUGCUUGUAUGUUUUUUUCUAUAUGGAUACUUACAUGUGUAUAGCUCUGCGCUGCCUUCGGUGUUUGUUGUUCACCCUGGUUUAUGGGCGUGGGUGGUGUCACCCUUGGCACAUGCAGCAAUGCAUCUCUUGGAGGGAGCAACGUUGACGAAGAUCUCCGUCUCUCAUUGUACGGCCGUCUCCCCUCAGAUUCAUUGUGAGGUAGCUCCUGUCUAUAUGGCUCAUAUCUUGUUCUUUUGAACCUGCUAGAGUGGCCAAAAUUUCUGUCUCUUUGGCCUGGUCUUCCUGUUGCAACCGCUUUUGCAGCAUGGAUGAUUGAUGUUGACGGAGCGACUGGUGGAAGCCUUGUUGCAACCCAUCCAUGGCUUCCUGUCCUUGGCUUUUUGCAUGCGCUCGGGAAGGAAAACAUUUGUUGUUGGUGAUAUUGUUGGCCUUGUUGCAACCCAGCAGCGGCAAAGCUUGCAUUCCCAGAUAUUGGUGUUUGCUGCAUAGAAGAACCUGUCCGUGCUUCUGAUGAUUCCGGUGUAUCUUGAAAUCUGCCUGUAUUGUUGAAGUAUCCAGGCGAUAUUUCUGGUGUUACCCAACCAGGUGGUGCCCCAUAUCUGUUUGGCUCAUCAAACGCUCGCUGCGUGCGCCGCCUUGCAUGCUUCUGCAAAUGACAUUAAACAGUUUUCGGAUUAAUCUGGUUUCAUUUUCAGUCGAACUGAUGAACGUUCAUGUUCAACAUUGAUGUACUGAUGUACUAUUUUUUAGCACUUCUUGUAAACUGGACAUUGAACUGAUGCAUGACUUCUCUUUUGUUCAUCUAUAACUUAUGCAACUACACUAGAAGUACUCCUAGUUUAUGUAUCAUUGAACUUACUGUGUAACUGUGGCACUCUCUUAGUACUAUCUACUUGGACUGAUGCAUAAGUUCAAGUUUUUUUACUUGAACUGAAGCUAGCAUAUUAGAGGUACUGACAGUAACCUGGACAUCCUAAUCGUGCAUCAAUGCAUCUACAUUACAAGUAUUGCUAGUUUAUGUAUCAUUGAACUUACUGUGUAACAUUUUUUUCAGUAACAGUUUUGUUACUCGUUUGAACUGAAGCAACUACAUGACUUGUACUCUUAGAAAUAACAACAUACAACUUUCAGUGGUAGCUGAACCUUAGUACUAUCUACUUGGACUGAUGCAUAAGUUUAAGUUUUUUUUACCUGAACUGAAGUUAGCAUAUUAGAGGUACUGACAAUAACCUCGACAUCCUAAUCGUGCACCAAUGCAUCUACAUUACAAGUACUGCUAGUUUAUGUAUCAUUGAACUUACUGCGUAACAAUUUUAUAUUUUUUCCAGUAACAGUUUUGUUACUCGUUCGAACUGACACAACUACAUGACUUGUACUCUUAGAAAUAACAACAUACAACUUUCAGUCGUACCUGAACCUUAGUACUAUCUACUUGGACUGAUGCAUAAGUUUAAGUUUUUUUUACUUGAACUGAAGCUAGCAUAUUAGAGGUACUGACAGUAACCUCGACAUCCUAAUCGUGCAUCAAGUGGCAGGGGUGAAAUUAACUGAUGCAAGCAUUUGCAAUGUACCAUCGGGUUCUUCUUCUUAGCAGGACUGAUGAACUGAUGGACUGACACAAACAUGGGAAGCAGACAUUACCUCCAGUGGACUGAUUUCAUCUUCUACCUCUCGUGGGCGUCGUACUGACAUGUUCUUGGGAGGCGGCGCCAUUGACGCAGCUCCUUCUUGUGGUGGACGUCUGGCGAAGAGGUUCAUUGAGUAAGCACCUUGUGGGGAUCACUGCCCCGAAGAAGGAGGGAGGCAGCAGGCGGGGAUGAUGGCCCCGUCGAUGGAUUCGAUGACAAAGGGAGGCAGGAGGCGGGGAUGACGGCCCCGUCGUUGGAUCCGGCAAUGGAGGGAGGCAGGAGGCACGGAUGACGACCUCGUCAUUUGAUCCGACGACGGAGGGAGGCAGGAGGCGGGGAUCACGGCCCUGUCGAUGGAUCCGGCAAUGGAAGGAGGCAUGAGGCGGGGAUCACGGCCCCGUCGUUGGAUCCGGUGAUGGAGGGAGGCAGGAGGUGGUGGCGGAUCCAUCGCCAGCCAGUCACGGCGCCAUGGGCUUUGUCGUGGAAUUAACACGUCAGAUGUCCUCAUGAAAGGACUUAGUCGUGGAGCCAUCGCGACGGGUUAGCUUGGAGGGGUUAAACCGGACAGGGGACAUGAGAGCUUUAUACUAGUUCGGCCCCUUCGAUGAAGGUAAAAGCCUACAUCUAGUUGUGAUGGAAUUGAUUGGGUUUUGAUGACCAGGGAGCAAAUACGCUUUGCCUGGGUCUCGAGUUUUUUUUCCUGAACCGCCGCCGGGUCAUCCCUUUAUAUACAUAGGUUCACGCUCGGCCGGUCUAUAGAGUCCCGAGGCCGGCUCAUACCAGUGUCCGGCUCGGUCUCUCCUUUCAUAUCUUAUAACACAAGUUACAUGAUCAUGGCGGUUUACAACUUAUGGGCCCUAAUCUAUCUUUGGGCUCUGGCCCUCUAAGCUUCACCGUAAAGCGCCAUCUUCUGGGUCUUUAUGGGCUUCAAAGUAGUUGAGGGUAAACCGGCCCCUCCUGGGCGGUUUACCCUUAGUAGUUAUAUCCUCAACAUUAGGCCCCAGAUUGAUUUGAACAUGUUCAUGUCAAUCUUCAAUACUUAGAAAAAUUUCAUGAACAUCUUCUUAUGAUUCUCGUAAACCGCCAUUAUGUAUUCUCCCUAUCAACCUUGGUAAACCGCCAUGACGUCAUCCUCUGAACACAGCAGUGAAUCGUCAUGACGUCAUCUCUGUAUAAAAAGAUAAUAAAGAUUCCUCAUUAACUAUGCCCGAAGAUCGAGGCGACAGCUACGCCCUCUUUUGCCGCUUCUGGCUCCUCGAUUCCCGCGCUUGCCUUAUCCUUUUGCCUUAUAAAUAGGCUCAGGGGUCCUUUUUUUCUUCCCCUUCAGUGCCUCUUCUUCCUCCUCGUGAUGCUCAAGCUCUGAAGCUCCGCCGCCGCCCUCAAUCUUCAAGCACUGCAUCGACAAGGCCGCUGCAUCAACCUGAUCGUACCAGAAACUUGCGGGUCUUCUCCGCUAUUCCUGUGCAUCUGGUAAGCCUCCUCCCUUCAACCCUAGAUCUGUAUUAGGGUUUCUGCGUUCAUCCGUGUUCGUUAGUGUUCAUAUUUGUUCGCUGCUUCUUGCUUUACUGUUGGAUCUAGAUGAACUUGUCAUCUUUCUCCUACGGCCAAAGUUGUAAUUUUAGUUUGCCUCACCGUAGUAUCUCCUCCUGCCUUGAUAGAUCCCAUCUAGACUUAUGGUGUUCUAUCGUCGCCAUUUUAGGGCUCAGAAUAAUUUUCUUACUGGACCAUGGUAGAUCCAAAAUUAUAAUGUCAUAUUGUGAAACCUGUUUCUGUCAACACUUAGUAGAUUUUCAGCCACUGCCUCUUCUAUUUAAGGGCGGUUUAACUUUUAGUAGUUGAUAAUCCGCCAUAUGCCAUUAGCCCUCACUUAAACCACCAUUUUGACUUGAAUAGUAAUCUCUGGUUUAACUCACGUAUAUGCCUUGGCCAAAUUCCCCAGUUUAACACCGAUUAGUGCACCUUAGCUAUCAAUCGUAAACUGGCCUUCAUUUUUCCUUUUCAGUUUGCUUUCCAAGAUGACUAAGCAAUUCGCUGCUUGCAACUGGGUUUCGUCCCGGAUCACGGAAACACAAAUCAAUGGAUAUGUUGUAACUGGCGCUUUAUCUUCAAAAAAUGUCCUUCAUUGGCGGGUUCCUGGCCCUGAGUGCCCUCCUGAGCCUCAAGAUGGAGAAGUGAUUGUUUUUAUGCAGCACCUAGACCAGGGGUUCAGCCCUCCCGGAUCAAAAAAAUUCCGGGAUGUCCUUGCUAACUUUCAACUCCAUCCAUAGGAUAUUGGACCGAAUUCUGUAUCCAACAUAUGCAAUUUUCAAGUAUUUUGUGAAGUUUACCUUCAAGAGGAACCAUCUGUUGAGCACUUCCGGGACUUUUUCCAUCUAAACUGCUGAACUCAGUUUUCUGAUGGUCCUAACACGGAAUUUGGGGGGUAUCAAUCCAGAAGAGGAAAGAAGUUCAUUUCCCUCAUGCAAAACACCACAGCCAUCCCAAGGACUGGAACCAAACUUGGUUUUACUGCCAGAACACUGCCCCUGCUGGAGAAAAUCCUUUGCCGGGUUACCACCCUCACCGGCUUAGCAAAUGGCCACCCAUUACCUCAACGAUUAACUGCCAAAGAACGACAAACUUAUGCACCUCAACUCGCCAAGCUCCGGUCUCUCCUAGCCAACGGUUUGACUGGUGUUGACCUCAUUCGCUGUUGGGUUUUGUGGCAUAUCCUGCCCUUAAGUCGCUGCUCCGGAUUAAUGCAUGAGUAUACCGGUGACACCAAGGACCCUCAACGGUUUAAUGAGAUAGAAAUGACCGACGAUGAAGUCACCAAAAGUGUGAAGAAGAUGCUUGACGAACCGAUCGCCGCAUGCUGCCAAACUGAGCUGCUCCCUUUUUAUACCUCCAACAAACCGCUAGCGGUAAAAGUUGUAACCUUGUGCUUUUUGAUCCACCUCCGCUUUAACAAUGUUCUAAUAUUCCUUUGUUUCAUUUCACAAGCCAAUAGCUCCUUCUGGAAGAGGAAAACUCAAGAUAAACCAUCUAGGGCUCCUCGUGCGAAGAGCAAAGUUACAAAAAGAACAGCCAAGAAGAAAACCGCCGAGUCUUCUGAUCCGCCAGAAGACAUUGACGAAUCGGAUCAAGAGGUAAAACUUGACUCCCUUGGUUCCUUUUUCAUACACCUUAUUGACAAUAACUAUUCCUAGCAUGAUGCGGAGGCCAGCCAUGCGGACCGUGUAGAGGUAAUCUCUCUUUCCUCCGAUUCAGAUCUUGUGCCGGUUCAAAGAUUUCGCCGUGCAGUACGGAAAGUAAAAUACUCUCACCCUCUUGCUUAUUUGGAUCCAAAAAUUUCUUUGAAGACACAGCAACCUGAAGGGCAUCGCACAACCCGGGACAGCGGCCAGCAAGUCACUUCUGCCGGUUUACCGGAUACUCCAACCCGGAAACGUCGCCCAGAGGUUUCUUGUUCUCCCAAAAAAAUUAUCCUUUGAAGGGUUGCUUCCGAUACCCACUUAAUCCGUCUGAUCCAAAUUAUCAGGGGUCUUCCAAUUCAUCUGGCGGUUCAUCAACCACUCAGCUGCCUCCCCUUAAAACCGUCCCUGGGUAAGUAUACUGCCCUUCAUCUUUUUUCCUUUAUAUUUCAGUUUACCGUGCUAAUCUUUGUUUUGAUAUCGCAAUGCCAAAGCCCGACUGAGCAAGAAGGCCAAAACCAGUACCCCCAUUGGUGAAGUUGAACCGGAGAGGGCUCCUAAGGGCACCGGUAGAAAUACUGAUGUCAUGGAUGAUUCCGCCCCACAAGGUGAGAACACUGAAGCUAAUCCGCUGGAAGCUGACCCGGCCACUCACGUUGAUCCUUCAAGUCCUCAUGCUACUCCUUCGAGUCCGGCUGCUGAUCCGCCGAGCCCAGCUGCCAAUCCGCCAAGCCCAGCCAGGGAUACCAUCAAUCUGCCAAGUCCAUCAAAAGGUGAUGAUGAUGAUGUUAUUAUUACUAGCACGGGUCACACUAGUCCUGGUAAUCCGGUUGUCUUGUCAAAACAUACUGCCAAGGAGGAAUUCGCUGCUAUGGGCAAAGGGAAAGGGAAGACUAAUUUAUCCAACUUCAUUAACCUUAGUACCGAGGAGCUUCAUUCCGGAUUUUUAAACCGCCUUUACACAAGCCGUGAUUUUGAGGCCGGUUUGGUGAACUUGAUGAAGGAGCGUUAUGACGUAAUCUUCAAACACGCUUUUGAAAUUUGCUUUGUUCUGUAUAUCUCUUCCAUUUUAGCCCCCAAGGGCUGGGUUAUCUCUUAAAGAUAAAACGAGACUUCGAGAUAAAGAACACUUCAAUUGAGUAGCCCCCAAGGGCCGGUUUGUCUCUUGAAGACAAACCGGGACUGUAUGUCCUUAUUAAUUGCCUUCACUUAUAACAGAUCAAUUGUGCAUUAGCCCCCAAGUGCCAAGCUUAAUACCUGGAUUGAGCCUUGGAACUUUAAAAUACUCACUUUAAAAAGCAAUUCGCAUUAGCCCCCAAGUGCCAAGUGUAUAACUUUUUAUGUGCUUGGGACUUUAACAGCUUCAUCAUCUGACUUUUUCAGACCGAUAGAAAUAUCAAAGAAUCUCAAAUCGCCGAUCUUCAAGAAAACAUCAAGUCCCAGCAAGAAGAGACCUCUAAAGCGAAAUAAGAGCUAAAGGGUGCUUUGACAACUAUGGAGCAAUUGAAAGAUGGCUUCAAAAAUGAACGCACCAACUGGGAAACUGAGAAGGCUGCGUUGUUGAAGCGGGCCGAAGACACCGAAUCAGCUCUUAAACCGGUGGCGGAUGAACUAACUGGGUUGAAGCGCCAAGUAAAUUUCAUGACCUCUACAAUAUUUGGUAAAUAUCGUUGUUCUAAAUUUCUUGAAUGGCCAUCCUUGAAAUUACCGGUUUAACAUGAAAAUCUUGAAUCGUUAUAGGUAGCCGUAUUGCUCAUCUGGGCUCUGACAUGCGGAUGAAACUGAAGGCAGCAUAUACGUUGAUAGAGCAACUGUAUACUGGUGCCCAACGGGUUAUCUGCGCAAUCUCAUAUAACAAACUGGCACGAACAUUGAUCAAGGACACACUAGCAAGGUUAUCCAUGACACCGGUGCAGAUAGAAGAGGUGAAGCGAUCUACUGCCAGGGCUGGCGCUUUACUAGCACUAACUCGGGCCAAAGCAUGGAUAUCUGACUUGGAUCCAGUUGAUAUCGCCAAGGGCUUUCCGGAUGAACAAGCAGAUGGGUCAGCAUUUGACAACGAAGCCCUCAAAGCCCUGACAAAGGAGAUGCGUCCGCUGUCAAGCCAAUUGGCUGAAGAGGCUAACUUGACUGUUCAUCGGUCCUUUUAUGAUGAAAGGAACCAGCGGGUUGACACGACUGUGACAGAAGCGCAAAACCUUAUCCCGCCAAUCCGUAAGCACACUUACGCCCCUGAUGUUGAACCGUCCAAUCUGAUAAGUGAAGAAGCUAUAUUUCAGGCUUUAACCCAGAUAGAGUAGACCACCGUUGACUUCCAGCAACUGGGUGGGGAGGAGGAGGGUGAACCGACGCCAGAAGAUCCAUCAACUUCACGUCGUCCUGGCAAUGAAUCUUAAACCGUCAAUCGGUCAAUUUUCACAGACUUUGUUCGGUGUAAGAACAAUCAGCAUUUUGGGCCUCAAAGCGCCUUGUAAUAGGCUAGUUAAAAUACUUUGAUCUGCCAUGCUGAUACAUGACUUUGUUUGAUCCGCCAUGAUAUUUGAUGUGCUUGAUUGUAUAUCAUGAUAAUUUCAUGCAAUCCUGAUGUCUGCAUAAAAAGAAUUUUCCGGCGGUAUCACAAUGCCCAAUACCAAGCCUGGUUAAUGACCAAAGCUAUAUCAAAAUAUGAAAUGAAUCAUACCUGUGAUAUUAAAUGACUUAAUUGGUUUACCAACUUGGUUUUGUAGUAAGGGUGAAAACCCAAUACUUGGAGCUUUUGAUAGUGUUCACCAUGCCGUGCUAGUGUUGAAUGAGUCAUACCGGGUUACGAUGAACACCAGAUGAUCAUAUUGGUGACAUAUAGUCAAAAACCAGACUGGUUUAUGAAACACCGGUUUAAAAACGAAGAUGGUCUGGCAACUUAUAGUUGAAAGCCAGGCCGGAUUAACAAACACCAGGUUAAUAUGAUGACUGAAAAGCCACACUGGUUCAAUAUAAACUUAUCAAAGGGUAAAAUUUUGGCAAAAAGCAAACAAAAACCGUGUAGUCGAGGCUUUUCAAGGGCUGCCAGGCCCAAAUUCAAGGCUUUUCAUGGGCUGCCAGGCCGCUGAGUUAAACCAUUUUGCAAAGCCUUUUAAGAUGGGCCUCCAACUAACCAAUCGUCAUUUUAACUUUGACAAGUUCAGGGUCUUUAAAAGAUUGACUUGUCAAACGUUCGGCGGGUCAUGCCAGGAUUACCUGGAUAGGAGUGGCUUAUUUGAUGAAGGCAGGUUAACCCGGGGUUUUAGGUGAAUACACCAGGCUUCCAAGCCGUGCUUGAUAGCAUUUUACAAGGGUCCUUUCAAACUCUUUGUUGCAUUGCACAAAGAGCCCCCAAGUAACUUUGUGAGCUAUGCUCAAUGGGUGCCUAUGUUUGAGUUGUGCACAGCAUCCAAACUCUCUUUGGCCCCUUGGGUGUGAAGCUCCCAAGCUGUAUAGUGGCAUGAUAGCCGGUUCAAUAAGUAGUACUCCGCUUUGUCAGCCAAAGCCCCCAUGUAACCAAGAACAUAUUUGAGGGAAAACAGCAGAGGCCCUGCUUAUAGCAAGGGUGCCAGUUUAUUAUAUUGAUCAUAAUAUAUACAUUGUCAAAAUAUGUACAUAAGAAAAGCCUAUGGCUCAAGUGUAGUAAGGCCGAAGGAGAGCUAUGUUCCAUGGCCGCCGGGUCUCCUCCUCAGAACUGCGUGAGUUGUCUCGAGCGUCGAUGAGGUAGUAUGAUCCGUUGUGCAGAUUCUUGCUGACCACAAAGGGCCCUUCCCAAGGUGGGGACAACUUGUGCAUAUCGGUCUGAUCCUGAAUGAGCCGGAGCACUAAGUCGCCUUCUUGAAAGGUUCUUGUCUUAACCUGGCGGCUAUGAUAACGCUGCAGGUCUUGUUGAUAAACCGCCGAACGAGCCAAAGCCAUGUCCCGUUUUUCAUCUAACAGGUCCAGCGCCUCUUGGCGUGCUUGCUCAUUGUCCGCUUCAACAUAAUUGGCUACCCGGGGUGAGUCAUGACGAAUAUCACUUGGGAGGACGGCCUCAGCCCCGUAAACCAUGAAGAAAGGUGUAUAACCCAUAGAUCGAUUUUGUGUGGUGUUUAUACUCCAUAACACAGAUGGUAAUUCUUACACCCAACAACCCGGCGUCCGCUUCAAAGGAACCAUAAGCCGGGGCUUGAUACCCUUCAAGAUUUCUUGAUUAUCUCUCUCCGCUUGACCAUUAGACUGGGGGUGAGCCAUGGACGCUACAUCAAUCCUGAUGUGCUCUCGUUGACAAAAUUCCUCCAUCUCACCUUUAUAAAGGUUCGUGCCAUUAUCUGUGAUGAUGCUGUGUGGAAAGACAAAAUGGAAGAUGAUCUUUUUGAGAAAUUGAACUGUCGUGGCUGCGUCACACUUGCUGACAGGCUUCGUUUCAACCCAUUUAGUGAACUUGUCAACCGCCACCAACAGGUUGGUCUUCUUAUCCUUGGAGCGCUUAAAAGGUCCCACCAUAUCAAGCCCCCAAGUAGCAAACAUCCAAGUGAUAGGAAUCAUCCAUAGCUCUUGAGACGGAACAUGAGCUCGAUGUGAAAACUUUUGACAAGCGUCACACCGCUUUACCAGAUCCUCUGCAUCAGUAUGAGCUGUCAACCAAUAAAACCCAUGACGCAAAGCUUUAGCCACCAGGGAUUUUGAACUAGCAUGGUGACCACAAUCCCCUUCAUGGAUUUCACGUUGAAUAUCUUGUCCUUCUUCAGGAGAAACACAAUGUUGGAAUACGCCUGAAACACUGCAACGGUGUAACUCGCCAUUGUGAAUAACCAUGGACUUGGAUCGCCGGAUUAUCUGUCUGGCUAAAACCUCAUCAUCUGGUAGCUCGCCCCGGUUCAUAUACACCAAAUAUGGAACCGUCCAAUCCGGAAUGAUAUGUAAAGCGGCUACCAAUUGGGCCUCCGGAUCAGGAACAACUAAAUCCUCCUCUGUAGGCAACUUAACAGCUGGGUUAUGCAAGAUAUCUAAAAAGGUAUUGGGUGGUACCGGUUUACACUGAGAUCCCAGCCGGCUUAACGUGUCUGCUCCUUCAUUUUUGCGCCUGUCAAUGUGCUCAACCUGAUAUCCUUUAAAGUGACCAGCCACAAUAUCCACUUCACGUCUGUAAGCCGCCAUGAGUGGAUCCUUAGAAUCCCAAGUACCAAAAACUUGCUGAGCCACCAAAUCAGAAUCUCCAAAACAGUGAACCCGGCUUAAGUUCAUUUCCUUGGCCACACGGAGACCGUGGAGUAAGUCCUCGUACUCAGCUACAUUGUUAGUGCAAGGAAACAUUAAGCGGAGGACAUAACAAAUUUUAUCACCUCGAGGGGAAGUAAGGACAACUCCAGCCCCCGAGCCUUCCAACUGCCUGGAUCCAUCAAAGUGAAUAGUCCAGUAUGUAUUAUCCGGUUUGUGCUCCAGUGCCUGUAACUCGGUCCAAUCAUUGAUGAAGUCAACAAGCGCCUGAGACUUGAUGGCCGUUCGAGGCAUAUACUUCAACCCAUGUGGACCAAGCUCAAUUGCCCACUUUGCAACCCGGCCAGUUGCUUCCCUGUUCUGAAUUAUAUCGCCCAAAGGAGCAGAACUAACCACUGUGAUGGGAUGGCCUAGAAAGUAUUGCUUGAGCUUCCGACUUGCCAUAAAAACCCCAUAUACCAGCUUCUGCCAAUGCGGAUAUCGCUGUUUUGACUCGAUUAGUACUUUGCUGAUAUAGUAAACUGGCCGUUGAACCGGAUAUUCCUAUCCAGCCUCCUUACGCUCAACCACAAUUGCCACACUGACCGCACGGGCAUUAGCAGCCACGUACAAUAACAAGGGUUCCUUGUCAACUGGAGCAACAAGGACCGGCGGUUCAGCUAACUGCCGCUUCAAGUCCUCAAACGCCACAUUGGCUGCAUUACUCCAGAUGAAAUCGUCUGUCUUCUUCAACAUCUGAUAUAAAGGAAUUGCCUUUUCUCCCAAGCGGCUGAUAAACCGGCUAAGGGCUACAAUUCGACCUACCAGACGCUGAACAUCAUUGAUGCACUUCGGUUUAGCCAAGGACGUAAUCGCUUUGAUCUUUUAUGGAUUAGCCUCAAUGCCUCUGUUGGACACCAGAAAGCCUAAUAGCUUACCUGUCGGAACACCGAAAACACACUUGUCCGGAUUAAGCAUCAUCUUAUAAACCCGAAGAUUGUCAAAGGUCUCCUUGAGAUCAUCUAUCAAGGUCUCCUUCUUUCUGGAUUUUACCACAAUGUCAUCUACAUAGGCAUGAACAUUGCGCCCAAUCUGAGUGUGAAGACAAUUUUGCACACAAGAACUGAGAGCCGGAAUGAGACAUGGCACUCCCCAAGAACUGAAAGCAAGCCCGGUGCCUCGGUCCACUGAUGCCGCUGGCUGAACCGGGGCGAGUUGAUAACGACCCGCAUAUUGUGCUGCUAAAGCAGCCUUCCUUCGUGCUCUGCCAUUAUCCACCGCAUCCUGAGCAUUUGCCUCACCAAGCGCCGGAUUGGGUCCUUGAGGGGCAUUACGGCGCCGCGCACUGCUAGACACCUCCGGUUCAUCUAUGUGCCUGCUAUAGCUUUUGCUUGGAUGGGGGGUCGAAUGAAUUCUGCCUCGGCUAUAAGAAUAAGCCUGCUGCUGCACAAUGGCGGUUUGAAGAAGAUCCCUGGCCCGCCACGUCUCAAUCGCCGCCAGUGAAUCGCCCUCCAUCGGAAUAGCUGCCAGGCAAGAUGCUGCAGCAAUCAUGUUAUCCAAAGGGCUAGAAAAGUGACCCAGUGGUGUUGAUACGUAUUGCGGCGGGUUAUCCGUUCGACGAGGUGGAUCCGUCACUCGUGGUUGAUCCGGCACUGCCCUAGGUGCGUCAGUCCGGUUUGCAGCUGCCGGAUUACUUGGCCCAGCCCUCGAUGUAUUGAAGAGAUUCAGUCCCUCGAAGACUGGCGGCAUACGUGGUAGAUACUUCCUCCACAUUACGUCAUUUGACGCAUUCUGAUGCAACAUGAGCCGGUAAUUCUGUGUCUGUAUCUGUUGUGACUGGGCAUCCAAAGCGGCCCGUUCUUCAGCCAUCCUGGCAUCCUCAGCUGCUAGGUCCUCCUUAGCCUGUGUUAUCUGGUCCUUCAGCUUCGCAACGUCCGCAUUGUGCUGGUCCUGCGUCUCCGGGGUAACUGCCGUGGUUAACAAGGUCGCCCAGGCAUCCAUCAAACCAGAGAGAACUUGAGCCGGUCGGCGCACCGGGCCUCCUACCGCGGCUGCUGAUCCGGAAUUCAUUGCUGCUGUAGAUGAAGACUGCAAGGUGGGCUGUGUUCCGGCCAUGAAAACAGCAACCCGACUCGGCGGUUCAAAGGGGUCCGGAAUACUGUUGCCCUCAGAAUAUCCUUCGAACACACCAUCCUGAACUUGAUACAGGGACUUGGUUUCACUGGUGGAUGACUCAUUGUCGGAAUAAACGGCCGUCUCGCCUUCAGACACCAGUUCAGAUCCAAUCCCAUGGACACAUCCUACGAACACACGCUUCAUGGCGGGCUUAACCCGGGCAGGACUCGCACGCUGAGCCGUCUCGACGAGUUCGGUGCAGAUGUCCGGCUCAGGGCCCGGUUCGCCGAUCUUGCCGAUGAAGACAUGAAUUCCGCCAAAGGAGACCCAGUACCCGUACUCGAUUGAGCCGGCCUCGGGGCCCCAUCCUUCAUCGUCGAUGUAGAGCUUGCCGCGAUGACUCUUGGUCAUCCAGCCGACCGCGUACCCUUUGAGUCCUUCAAAGCUGCCCUUCAAGAACUCGAAACCAUUGUGCGAUAGCCCCACGGUGGGCGCCAACUGUCGUGGAAUUAACACGUCAGAUGUCCUCAUGAAAGGACUUAGUCGUGGAGCCAUCGUGACAGGUUAGCUUGGAGGGGUUAAACCGGAUAGGGGACACGAGAGUUUUAUACUAGUUCGGCCCCUUCGGUGAAGGUAAAAGCCUACGUCUAUUUGUGAUGGAAUUGAUUGGGUUUUGAUGACCAUGGAGCAAAUACGCUUUGCCUGGGUCUCGAGUUGUUGUUUUUUUCCUGAACUGCCACCGGGUCGUCCCUUUAUAUACAUAGGUUGACGCCUGGCCGGUCUACAGAGUCCCGAGGCCGUCUCAUACCAGUGUCCGGCUCGGUCUCUCCUUUCCUAUCUUAUAACACAAGUUACACGAUCAUGGCGGUUUACAACUUAUGGGCCCUAAUCUAUCUUUGGGCUCUGGCCCUCUAAGCUUCACCGUAAAGCGCCAUCUUCUGGGUCUUUAUGGGCUUCAAAGUAGUUGAGGGUAAACCGGCCCCUCCUGGGCGAUUUACCCUUAGUAGUUAUAUCCUCAACAGGCUCCCUCGCUUCGGCUGCCGCCGUCGCUCGCUCUCCCACGAUGCUUGCCUCUGGCGGAAGAAGGCGGGUUGGGGUCGGGGGGAUUCGACGGUUGUGUGCGCGUCGCGCCUAUAGGGGGCGGGGGGUAACAGAAUAAUAUUCUCUUAUGGGUAACAGAAUAGUCCAGCCCUAUAUAUAUACAGACGGUCUAUUCUGCUAAUAUUAGCAAAAUAACUAUUCUGCACAUCACUUCCGCACUGCAUGCUGAAUGCAAGUGCACGUCAUUCUUUGAACCAAGCGUGCUGCAGUACUCACACGAGUGAACUUCUCGUCGGAUAAAACUGCACGCGUUAUUUUUUUGGUACUGUUUUUGCUCUAAUUUUUUAACCGUUUAUCGGAAUGAGGCGUGUAAUAUACCGUUGAAAAGCUAUGGAUUAGGCGCAACUUCGACAUGUUGAACAAUUUUCGAGAUUCCACAUGGUUUAAGAGCAGUUUUGAAAAUGGUGCGGCGGAUGACGAGUGGCAGCGAGCGUUUUUUCGCGUUUUUUUCUAAACGGCUUGUCGGAAUGAAGCAAAUGAUACGUCGUUGGAUAGAUAUUGUCGAGGCGCAUCUUUUUCAUAUAUAAAUCUUUCUCUAAUUCGUUACGGUUUAAGAGCAUUUUCAAAUUUACUAAAUCACGGAAUUCUGUUUUUCAAGUUUUUAAAAAAAUCUGGUACUGUUUUCGCUCCAGUUUUUGAACCGUUUGUCGAAACGAGGCGUGUGAUACGCCGUUGCAAAGCUACGAACGAGGUGCAACUUUCAUAUGUUGAAAUAUUUUUGAGAUUCCUUACGUUUUUAAGUUAAUUUUGAAAAUCGUGCGGCGCACAACGAGUGGCAGCGGCCGUUUUUUGCGAAAUUUUUGCAAACCGCUGGUCGGAAUGAUUCAAAAGAUACAGCGUUGGAAAUAUAUCGACGAUACGCAACUCUUUCAUGUAGAACACUCUCUCUAAUUCUUUACGGUUUAAGAGAAAUUUCAAAUUUACCGAAAUGCGGACACUCUGUUUUUCGCGACACCAAAAUCGACGAAGUGAACUCCAUCUGACAGAAAAGAGCACUGCUUCGGAUGUAAAAGUGCACUGCAUCCGACUGGCAAGCGAAAUGCAUGAUUUCUUUUGUCUUGAUUUUUGUUAUUCAUUUUUUAGUCGGACACCACAUGAGCUGCAUCCCACGGCCAAACGCAUCACAGUUUCUAAUCAAGUUGACUGAUUCCACACUGCAUCAGACGGUCAAGUGAACUUCAUGAUUUUUUUGUCAAACGUAAUUUUUUUCUCAGACAAGUUUUUGUUGUCUUUUGUUUCAGUUUUUUUAUCGAGAGUGGACCGCAAAGAGGAGGCAAGUGAACCGCGACAUAUAUCAAAGUGAACCUCAUUACUAUCUUUGUUGUUGCGCUAAAUUUUUAGCACUUUUCACUUUUGGGCACAAGUGAACAACAUCACUCUCAAAAGUGAACCACAUCCGAGGACCAAAAGCACUGCAUGCAUUGAUAUAGUCGACUGAUUUUUAAAGCACACAAAACAAAUUACACUUCAUACAUAGGGGGUAAUAAGCUGCAACACAAAUGUUACUUAUCAUUAUUAUCCUUUUGCUUUUGUUUUUGUGCACUAUUACAUAGAGAACUGUCCCCCCACGACAAGUGAACCGCACCAAAAUUCAUAAAUCAAAACAACAAAUCAAGGGCAAUACAAACUGAACAUGAGAUAGCUUUUCUCUCAAGAGAAAAAAACAUAUGAAACCACAAAAGGUAUUGCAUGCUCAUAUCUUUCCUAAGCACUCCACCCGCACAUACCAACAAAACUGUACUCAAAUGAAAAAAGUAACAGGAACAAAAGUGCAAACUAGAAGCAUUUUACAAUCUGGCCGGGUUGGCAAUGUUGUGGCAUGCGAGCACUGCACGCGCUACUUUGCCAAACUGCAUGCACAUGCCUGCCGUACUUCACGCCUACAUGCCGCAAACUGCUAAGGGGGACUUCAUCAUGCGAAUGUCACAAGGCGGGCUCUAAAUAUGAUUAGGCAAGCCUAUACGUCGAUGCAAGGUGCACUACAACAAUAGAGCGAAUAAAAGUUAACUUUGGCACAAUUUUUUGGUCUUUUUCAGUCUCGGUAAGAACAAAGUGAGCUGCAACGGAAUUAGUUAGAGAGCAUACAAAAUAAAGAGAAAUCAAAUUAUACAGCAUACAAUUUUUUUGAAGCCCACGAACUGAAGCCAUGGGCUGGCCAUGGCCGCGCUAGCCCAACUGUAGAGGAAACUUGCCAGAACCUCGCCGCCGAUGGAACUCGUUCAUACUCGCGGCGGUGCUUCACCGAACUGCAGUGUACUGGAUGGAAUCUUCGGUGGUGGGGAAGCACCAUCCGCUUCCUCUUGCGCAUUCUGCAACAGAUCCAGUGGCUGGGUUACGCGAGGUGAGGCCGGUGGUGCUCACCGUUGCCGAGGCGCAUGGUGGCCACAACCUAGACCGUGACCUGGUCGUUGACGGCGGGGAAGGGGGCGCACAACCUCAGAGGGAGGGAAGGGAGGUGUGGCUCAGUGGCCGUGGAUGUCGACGGUGGCUGGAGAGGACGAACCCCGUCUGUGCCUAGCCAUGGACGGAGAGGAAGACACCGGGGCAGGGAGAUGGGAGACGGUGAAGGAACGGGGAGGGGAGAGUCGCCGGUGACCCCCGAGCCCCUCGGAUCCCACACGAUCCAUGAAUCCAGCUGCCCCCUUGACCCGGUGGUUGGUACUUGGUAGGGACGGCAACGCACGAAUCUGAGGCCGACCACGCGCGGGCAGGAAGGAGGAAGCGUGCCCAGAUCUCGUCGUUGUUGGAAGGAAGGGUGUGCGCCGGCCCGCCGGUUCCAUGUUGUUGCUGGAGGGGCGAGGACGAGGGGAGUUGGAGGGGGUUGGGGGCAGUCGCCGGGACAAUGCAGGGGACCGGCGACGCUCGGUCCCGGCGCUUGGGCGGUGCAGCGGGGUUGGAUCCGUCGCCUGACCGCCGCGUCAUGGCCGGAUCCAUGGCCCGGGCGACGCGGAGGUGCGCGAGGCGCGAGGGUGCUGGGGACACGGUGACGCGGGGGCGCGAGGGAGGUGGCGGCGGUGCUACAGCGGGGGCGCGGGGAGGAAGGAGGCGGCGCUGCAGCGGGGGCGCGGGGAGGGAGGCGGCGGCGCCAUGGGAUGGAGGAGCACGGGGGAGAGAUGAGUGGGGUGGGGUAGGUCGUGGGAUGGAGGAGCACGGGGGAGAGAUGAGUGAGGUGGGUAGCACCGUGGCAGAGAUAAGGUGGUUUUUGUGUGUGCGCAGUUCGGUCGACCAUCGUAAGUGGUUAGGUUGUAGCUGCGGGGUUGGUCGGGAGGUGUUAGCAGAAUAAGAAAGUGGUGUGUAGAAUAAGACUCUUAAGGGUGUUAUCAUAAUAGACCCACCCUAUAUAUAUAUAUAUAUAUAUAUAUAUAUAUAUAUAUAUAUAUAUAUGUUGAAACUAUCCUCGAGAUAAAAACAAGUUGGGUGCUGAACACUAUAAACCCCAUCUUCCUAUGUGUUUGACAUAAACGUUUGCUCUAUAAAUAUGACGUGAGUGUCAGCAAUCACAAAAGACUAAAUGAUAGUUUAGUAUGUGAACUUGCUAAAUAAAGCGCUUACAUAGUCUCUUUCUGAAAAUAUGAUGGAUUAUGAUUGUUUCAAUGAUUGAGAUCAUAGUUUGUUAGUUUCCAAUGAAAUUUAUGGUUCAUACUUUAGUUUGUGAAUGAAUAUUUACUUUAGCAUGUGAGGUUUUAUGGUGAUAUAUUGAUGAUAUGAUAAUGAGCAUGAUGCUUUCAUGUCUGUAUUUUGUUUUUAUCGACAUCUCUCUCGCUCUAAACAUGUGGUCAUGAUUAUCAAUUCGGCUUUCGCUUGAGGACAAGCGAGGUCUAAGAUGUGUGUGUGUGGGGGGGGGGUUGAUACGUCCAUUUUGCACCAUGUUUUCCUACUGUUAUUUAUUCUGUUUUCGAUUGUUAUUUCACUUUAUGAUGCAAUUCUUAUGCAUUUUCUCUCUUAUUUUGCAAGUUUCACAUGAAUAUGGAGAUUGUCGGCAGCUAGAAUUCUAGAAUGAAAAAGGCUACAACAGAGAUAGCUAUUCUGCACAACUCCAAAUGACCUGAAAAAUACAGAGAAUUGUUUUGGAAUAUAUAAAAAAAUAUUGGAGGAAGAAAUACCAGGGAGCGACUAGCUGAGGGGGCACGCCCUACCCCCUCGGUGCGCCCUAUGAGCUUGUGAGCUCAAUGGCAGGCCUUCGGUACUCAUCUUCUGCUAUAUGAAGCCAUUUGCCCUAGAAAAAAUAAGAAGAAGACUUUUGGGAUGAAGCGCCUCCAUCUCGAGGCAAAACCUGGGCAGGAGCAAUUUUGCUCUCCGGUUGAGCGAUUUUGUCGGGGUAACUUCCCUCCGGGAGGGAGAAAUCGAAGCCAUCGACAUCACCAAUGAUCCUCUUUUCAAGGAAGGACCAAUCUUCAUAAACAUCUUCACCAAGACCAUCUCAUCUCAAACCCUAGUUCAUCUCUUGUAUUAAAUCUUUGUCCCAAAACCUCAUAUUGGAACAUGUGGGUUGCUAGUAGUGUUGAUUACAUCUUGUAGUUGAUGCAAGUUGGUUUAUUUGGUGGAAGAUUAAAUGUUUAGACCCUCAAGCAUAUUCAAUACACCUCUGAUCUCGAACAUGAAUAUGAUUUGUGAAUAGUUACUUUUUUUCUUGAGGACAUGGGAGAAGUCUUUUCAUAAGUAAUCAUGUGAUGUUGGCAUACGUUCGAUAUUUUGAUGAUAUGUAUGUUGUUGUUUCCUUUAGUGGUGUCAUGUGAACGUCGACUAUAUGACACUUCACCAUACUUGGGACUAAGAGAGGACAUUGUGUAGUAAUAAGUAGAUGAUGGGUUGCUAGAGUGACAGAAUCAUAAACCCUAGUUUAUGCGUUAUUCGGUAAGGGGCUGAUUUGGAUCCAUAUGUUUCAUGCUACGGUUAGAUUUAUCUUAAUUCUUCUUUUAUAGUUGCGGAUGGUUGCGAGAAGGGGUAAUCAUAACCCAAGCACCGAUCCACCCACAUAUCAAAUUAUCAAAGUAGAAAACACGAAUCAACUAAACAUGAUGAACGUGACUAGAUGACAAUUCCCAUGUGUCCUCGAGAGCACUUUGCUUUACACAAGAGAAAGUUCCUGCUUGUCCUUUGCUAUAAAAAGUAUUGGGCAACCUUGCUGCACCUUGUUACCAUUGUUACUUGUUACUUGCUACGAAUUAUCCUACUACAAAACUAUAUGUUACUGUUACUUCCAGUGCUUGCAGAAAAUACCUUGCUGAAAAUCGCUUGUCAUUUUCUUCUACUCCUUGUUGCAUUCAACACUCUUACUUAUCGAAAGGAGUACAAUUGAUCCCCGAUACUUGUGGGUCAUCAGUAUGCAUCAACACAAUGAGCUGAGACAUGCAACACAUACUACACAACGCCCGUUUUGUUGUUUUUUAGCUGGAGAAGCUUUUCAUUUUGCAUUAUUAUUGGGUUUUACUCUAGUUACAUGAAAACCUGUGCACACACGUCAUGUUUAUUGGAUAGCUAAGGUGCAUGCAUACCAAGCACCAUGCAAGUUGCAGAGAGUUCUAUCACUGGCUAGCCGACAAUGCGUCGCCCCCCUCCAUCCGACACAUUAUCGGCAGCUGUGUCGCGGGUUGCUGCACCUUUGCCACCUUUGGGCUGGCCGUUUGCUGCUCUGUGUUAACAUGGUAUGGGUUGUCGUAGCCUUGUUGCUCUUGUCCUGAUUGCUGCCCUUGUCCUAGUUGGUGUCCUUGUCCUGAUUGUUGCCCUUGUCCUGACUGUUGCCCUUGUCCUGACUGUUGCAGAGAAAUUGGGUAGUACCCUUGUUGCCCUUGUCCUGGUUGUUGCACUUGUCCUAUUUGUUGGCCUUGUCCUGGUUGUUGCGCUUGUCCUGUCUGCUGCGGAGAAGUUGGGCAGUGCCCUUGUUGCCCUUGUCCUGGNNNNNNNNNNNNNNNNNNNNNNNNNNNNNNNNNNNNNNNNNNNNNNNNNNNNNNNNNNNNNNNNNNNNNNNNNNNNNNNNNNNNNNNNNNNNNNNNNNNNNNNNNNNNNNNNNNNNNNNNNNNNNNNNNNNNNNNNNNNNNNNNNNNNNNNNNNNNNNNNNNNNNNNNNNNNNNNNNNNNNNNNNNNNNNNNNNNNNNNNNNNNNNNNNNNNNNNNNNNNNNNNNNNNNNNNNNNNNNNNNNNNNNNNNNNNNNNNNNNNNNNNNNNNNNNNNNNNNNNNNNNNNNNNNNNNNNNNNNNNNNNNNNNNNNNNNNNNNNNNNNNNNNNNNNNNNNNNNNNNNNNNNNNNNNNNNNNNNNNNNNNNNNNNNNNNNNNNNNNNNNNNNNNNNNNNNNNNNNNNNNNNNNNNNNNNNNNNNNNNNNNNNNNNNNNNNNNNNNNNNNNNNNNNNNNNNNNNNNNNNNNNNNNNNNNNNNNNNNNNNNNNNNNNNNNNNNNNNNNNNNNNNNNNNNNNNNNNNNNNNNNNNNNNNNNNNNNNNNNNNNNNNNNNNNNNNNNNNNNNNNNNNNNNNNNNNNNNNNNNNNNNNNNNNNNNNNNNNNNNNNNNNNNNNNNNNNNNNNNNNNNNNNNNNNNNNNNNNNNNNNNNNNNNNNNNNNNNNNNNNNNNNNNNNNNNNNNNNNNNNNNNNNNNNNNNNNNNNNNNNNNNNNNNNNNNNNNNNNNNNNNNNNNNNNNNNNNNNNNNNNNNNNNNNNNNNNNNNNNNNNNNNNNNNNNNNNNNNNNNNNNNNNNNNNNNNNNNNNNNNNNNNNNNNNNNNNNNNNNNNNNNNNNNNNNNNNNNNNNNNNNNNNNNNNNNNNNNNNNNNNNNNNNNNNNNNNNNNNNNNNNNNNNNNNNNNNNNNNNNNNNNNNNNNNNNNNNNNNNNNNNNNNNNNNNNNNNNNNNNNNNNNNNNNNNNNNNNNNNNNNNNNNNNNNNNNNNNNNNNNNNNNNNNNNNNNNNNNNNNNNNNNNNNNNNNNNNNNNNNNNNNNNNNNNNNNNNNNNNNNNNNNNNNNNNNNNNNNNNNNNNNNNNNNNNNNNNNNNNNCCUAUUUGCCGCCCUUGUCCUAGUUGUUGCCCUUGUCCUAUUUGCUGCCCUUGUCCUGGUUGUUGCCUUUGUCCUGGGUGUUGCGGAGAAGUUGGGUAGUACCCUUGUUGUCCUUGUCCUAUCUGUUGCCCUUGUCCUGGCUGCUGCAGAGAAGUUGGGUAGUAUCCUUGUUGCCCUUGUCCUAUCUGUUGCCCUUGUCCUGGUUGCUGCAGAGAAGAUGGGUAGUACCCUUGUUGUCCUUGUCCUGACUGAUGCAGAGAAGUUGGGUAGUACCCUUGUUGCCCUUGUCCCAGUUCUUGCCAUUUGCCUGGCUGUUGCCCUUGUCCUGGCUGUUGUGGAGAAGCUUGGCCUGGAUAAUAUGGCCCCUGCUGAGGAGAACUUACGCUUGGGUAAUACCCUUGUACUGUUUGUGAAGAUGUUCCCCAAAAUAUUACUUGUUGGAGUUGCUGCAGUGGUGUGGUCUCGCCAGGGUAGAAGGAUCCGCCCUUGGGCGGCACCACGGUUUGCUCAUAUUGUCUUACGACUUGGCUGACGGCGACGAGACGGCACUUAGCGCUAACAUCUCGGAGCUGCUGGCAGCAUCGCAUCUGGAGCCCCGUGCUCCAUGGCAGCCGACCGGCCAACUGUUGGUCCACGACCUGUCGGCAUGCCUCAAGCGAGCUCUCCUGGAGCUCGCGCUCACACUGUAGUUGCCUAGAGGCCUCACCUUCAGCAGCAGUGAGAGCCACGAGGGUGAUGACUACUGUCGCAAAGAGGACCAACCGCUUAGCCAUCUCGAUGGACUGUUAGUGAAUUGAUCUCUAUUUUGUGGUGCUCGGUGUUGUGGGUGAUGAUGAGAUUGUGGAGAUUGGUUGGGCUUUUAUAGGGACGUGGUGAAGGUUCGGGACAAUGGUUGUGUGCACGGUGUGGUUAGUUUAGCCUAAGAAGAAACGUGAGAAGAAUAAAGUCAGUUGGAAAAGCACAAUUUGCCAACACAAAAGAAGCUGGAUAAGCAAGGAGCAAUUGGAGUUUUGCAAAACAGAUUUUUGGACAGUCUGCUAAAGCCACGUAAUCGGUUCAAUCCUAAUUCUGACUUCUGGGUACUGUUUGCAGAAGUGUAGACGUUUGUAUAUCGAUCUGCUAUUUUUAUCUAAGAGAAGUGGUUAUACUUCUUGGGGUUUGGGAGAAUAUGUGUCUGUUAGCCAUUGCUUUUGUAGAUCUGCGGUCACUAAAAGCUUCUAAGCAUGUCCGACUAAUGGAAGGUAGCUUGCAUGGAUAAGGUAAGUUGAUAAAUCAUCCUUCAAAAGCCCAUUUAUGUUUGUUUCUUGUCAUGUAGUUGGAUUUCCAGGCAACACAAAUCCAUGCUAUGACUCACAAUAUCUAUCUAAUGAAUCACAACAUUUAUCUGUGCUAUGACGCACCGUACCAAAAGCUGGUAGAAUUUUUGGACUUAUGUAAACACCUUUCGAUGACAAAACUCAACUAACUGAAACCUUUGGUCAUUCAUGUCUAAAAUUAACAUAGGAUCUUCAGAGAAAACUCGCGUCAAUUAGUUUGAUUUACACCAAAAUAGGGGAUUUUUCCACUUCCCAAAUGAGUUCAAGUAAUGUGGAUUUAAUUGUCCAUUAUAUCCUCCUCCUAUGUUUAACCUCUUAUGUUCUUCUAUGAUCUCCAUGUGUUUCUUCCCCGCCCCCACCUCUCUGGAUGUCCAUUGUCUUUCCCUGGCCUCUGUAGACGGCGCACUUCUUCUCUCCUUGGCCUUAUCACUUGCAGGCCAUCACUAAUAUUUCCUUAUAACUAGAUAUACCCCACAUGUUGUCGCAGAAAUGUUUUGCAGUAUAUUUGAAUGAAAUUUGGUUAUAUGAAACAUUUAUAUUUUGAGUAAAAAUGUGAGAACCAAAAAUGAAAACAAUAUGAUCUAUUGUGUUUGAUUAUUGUAUAUUUGUGAAAUUUUAUCAAAUAAAUAGCCUAGUAAAAUGAAAAUUUUGAUGCAUAAUUGCAUGUUGAAGUGGACAUUUUUCCAUGCAUGCUACAUGCUGAGGUGAUAUGUUUGCAUGUUGAGAGGGAUAUGUUAUUUGGAUAUAGAAGAUUACGAAUGUGUAACCGCAACUUUGAGUUAGCUGUUUGUUUCUUGUCAAUAUUAACAACAUAUAAGAAAAUUAAGCUUCAUUAUCUUUGUUAAUUAAUACAUCACUUUCAUCUCCCAUCGUCCAACAUAAUCCAGGUACACUCCUAGUAGGCCCGGGCCAAGGCAUGUGCAACCUGUGCGAACCGCACAGGGCCCAUGAUUUGUAGGGGGGGCGAAUUUCAGCCCAUACGCUGGAGGCACCCGAGCAAAACCACUCUGAAAAAUAAAUAUAUAUGGGAUAUUCCAGCGUUGCUUCUGAGAUCGAACCGGCGACCUCACACGAGCCAAAAUAAACAUUGGCCACCUCAGCUACAUUUUCUAUGUGAAGCAAAAUGGAAUAAAUGCUACUGGAAUUAUAUAAGACUCCUUGUCCGCUCGACGUUUGUAAACCUUUAAGUCCAUAGUUAGCGUUCUUUUUAGUCUUUUCUUGCAGAAUAAUGAUUUGAGGCGUCAUGAAGAACAGCUUAGCAUACCAUCUAAAGAAAGACACCUUAGCUUGGAAGGUAUCCUGAAGUGUUUUCCCUUAUUGCCUUUAUAUAGGUAGGUUUUAACGCAUUUUUUGAUGGAAACGCCAUGGGGGGGAAUUAAGGCAAAUUUUCUAAAAUGUUUCAAAUAUAACUUUGAUGAAAAAAGCACUAAGAAAUUGUACUCGAUCAUGGAUAACGUUUUGGUCAUAUGUUGCAGUGCAUCUCUUUGCCGGACGUUCUUCUAAUGGUAGGCCCAUUUUUAGAGUUUGGCACAAGGCCCCUGAGUUUGUCGGCCCGACCCUGACUCCUAAUACACAUUUUGUGGUUGCUAAAUUAUGCUUUGUUAACCUUAUUCAUUGUAUCGGCAACAAAAAUAGAUAGCCCGGCCCCAGUCUGCUUCCUGUAGGUCAACAGGUGCAUGCACCCAUUUUUCUGUUGAAUAUGUAUUUGAAAAAUGUUGAAGAAGUAUUUGAAAAAUAUUGAACAAGUAUUUGAAAACUGUUGAAUAGGUAUUCGAAAAAUGUUGAAGAAGUACAUAUUCAACAGUUUUUAAAUACUUGUUAAACAUUUUUCAAAUACCUAUUCAACAUUUUUCAAAUACUUCUUCAAUAUUUUUCAAAUACCUAUUCAACAAAAAAAGAGUGCAUGCACCUGUCGGCAUAGAGGAAGCAGACUGGAGGCCAAUCGGUCAGCAGUGGGCUGACUAGAUCCAAUCGGUCGGCAAUGGGUUGACUAGGGGCCAAUCAGCCAGCAGUAGGCCGACUGGAUCCAAUUGGCUGGCAGUGGGCCGACUGGGGGCCAAUCGGCCAGCAGUAGGCCAACUGGGUAUUAUUUUUAAAAAAUAUAAUUACAACGUAACAUUUUUGAAAUUUAAUUAAAAUAAUGUAUUAUUUUAAAAUAAUUAGCGAAGAAUGGAGGCAAUUCAAUUGGUGUUGCGCCUGCAAUUUACAAAGAUGUUGACGCUCGGUGUCCUACGGAAGCCAAUCAAGUUGCGCAUCUUUUAGCUUGUAACUAAUUCUAAUGUUUCUGUUACUAACAGGUGGCAGCUAAGAAUUACGGAUAAUUAAACGGUUAGAUGCGCAACUUUAAAACUUUGAAAGUAAGAAUUACGGGAUAAUUAACCGGUUCUGCCAAGUAAACUCAUUUCAUUAUUCAUUGCUCUUUCAUUAUCACUGUCAUUUCCGCAUGGAGGAUUGUGAUUACAGGUCGCACUUAUUAUCAGAGCUCACACAUUGCAUCGACCAAUCAGCUAGCCUAGUAGUACUGGUCGGCAAAGAAGACGCUACACUCCUGGGGCUCGAUCCGGCACGCGGUCGGUAGCCGUACCUUCGUCAACCUCACGCGACCGGCCUGCGGCUUCUGCUGCGCCCCCUCGCCGGAGAAUCCUUCUCCCUGCUGCCGCUGCGGCCUCUUGUGACAAAGCACCUGUCCUUGCCGCUGGCCACCACGCCCGACGGUCACCCCGUGGUAGCCUCCUCCCUGCUGCUGGCUUCCUCCUGUCUCACUGCCAUACUGACCCCCUUGUACCUCCUGCCGCUGCUCCGCCGUGGACUCACCGGAACAUCCCCGCUCUGGUUGACGCUCCCCGGACGAGCCGUGGCGCCCUUCUCCCAGCGGCGGCAUGGACUGCUCGUAGUCCCGCACCAUGCCGCGGAGCGCGGCGCAGCGGCACUCGCGGCUGACACUCUCGAGCUGCUGGCAGCACCGCUCCCUGGCGUCCGACUGCGCCUGAAACAGCGGGACGCCGAAGGCGCCCUCUCCGGCGCGGCCGGUCAGCUGCUGCUCGAGGAUCUGCCGGCACGCGUGGAGCGGCUUCUCCCGGACCUCGCCCCGGCACUGCGCGUCCGCGAGGCGCUGCUCGAGCACGCCUUGGGCAGCGGAGACGGCCACCAGGGCCGCCAGGAACAGCGCGAAGAAGACGAACCUACCCAUAUUGUUUCCAGUACGAGAUGUGGUUGCGUUUCCGAUUGUUGUAUAUUUGUUGUGUGGUGAGAUGCUGAAGAGAUUGAGAUUGAAAAUGAGACGAUCACGCUGGAGUGACGGAUUUUGGAGCUUGCUAAACGAUUUCCCGGAUGAUGUCGGAUGAGCUGGAAAGUUGCUUUUACUGCAACAAUCUUAUCGUGCAAGUAUGGAUGUACUCAGCAUGUAACGUCUUUUGCACUAGUCAUGAGUCACGAUGAUGAGGAUCAUGUAUGGAAUUAUCCAUAAUAAUAGUUCCUUGAAAAAUCUCGUCUAUGAUAAUUGAUAAUCUUGUUCUGGCUGCAUGCAUCAUUCAAAUGUAGAGGCGGCCCGGGGUGAUUCUCCUUUUAAAAAAUGAUAAUCUUGUUCGUACUUCGUACACUUUGGAGUGAAUUUUGAAGGUUUCUUAAAUCUGAUAUAGGAACAAUGCAAAGGGCUAAUCAAUCAGCUUUAGCUGUACUUUUCCUUGGAGUUUCCCUUGUUUUGAGUGGUAUUUCAGGAGGAAUUGGCCAACGCUGGGUAUCGAAGGUAGAAAGACCACUAUGACCAUAUGGAUUCCCUCUUCCAAACCAAAAAACUUAACUGAUAAGACGGGAAGAUACUUUGAUACUACUCCGGUCACUUCAGUGAGGUGCCGCAACGUCGCCUGACCACUGCCCUAUUCAACUUCAGUGUGAAGCCAAUAAGAAACUUCCAUUGCCGAUAGGGCACUAGCCUAUAUGCCGUGGUAUGCAUGCUUGACUGUCGAAAUCAUGAUAAAUUAUAGUGAAAACUUCAGUGUGCGAAAAGUAUAAUGCAUGAAGCAUGGCAAGACUUGCUCUGGCCGGCGCUUUCUACUUGGUGGAUGAGUUUCGGGUUGGCCGGAUACAAAGGGCAGUGGUAUGUUUAGUCUUGGUUCUGCAGUUAUUGUCCCGUACCGUGAUGCAUGUCUGGUUCACAAGAGUGAAGGUGUCGCCACAGAGUGUAGAAAAAAUGACAAGUGUAUUCGAUGCUGAAAGUGACGAUCCUUUUUACUCCCUCCACAAAGAAAUAUAAGAUCAUUUAGAUCACUACUACUAUUUUAGUGAUCUAAACGAUCUUAUAUUUCUUUACAGAGGGAGUAUCAGUUUACAGAUAUGCUGGGAGCAAUCUAUGGAAGGUCAAAAUAAUAAAGAAAAUUUUCUGGUGUUCUUUGUUUUGACAAAAUUGACACAAGAUGGUGUUCCAUUGCUUUUGUCUGAGGCUGGAACUAUAGUAUGAAGCCCGCGCUUUGCUGCAGAUAUCAUCAGGUGUUUUAGAAAGUUAUAUCUUGAAAUGUGUAUAUAUAAAAUUUGUAUUUCUGUAAUUAUAGAUUUGCAAAGUUUAAAUAUUUUUGAAGUGCAUAUGAAGAAAUGAGAUGUAAAAUUAUGGUACAUUAGUUUUCUGGCAUAGUUAUGGCCAUUUCAGUGGUAGCAUCUUCUGGGAAGUUACAAACUGAAUGUUGUGUGCUAACCUAACAAUUAUCAUGCUUCUCAUUUUGUUCUAACAUGCAUUUCUAUGAAAAGACAUCAUUUCACCAAGGGGUGUGUUUUUCCACAAAGACGCAUUUUUUCACACAAGGAACGUAUCUUUCCAGGAAGAUAUAUCUCUUCACCAAAGAAUGCGUCUUUAAACCAAAGGACGUGACUGU